rnacentral:lncRNA from 1 species
UAAAAAAAAAAAAAAAACUAUUUGAGUGUUUCUUCCAUACCUAGUCUCUCCUUCAAAGUUAAUUUUUAUUCUCUUUUUUGCAAGAAAAUAUAUUAUGUCAAUUGAAAGUCUUAAACAAAAUUUUGAAUGAUUCCCAAUUAUAAUAUGUGCUUACAACCACAAGAACAUAAAAUAAAAGUAUAAAAAAAAUAAACCUGAAAAGAUUCUUUCCACAUGAAGAAGAAGAAGAAGUAGAGAAAUAGUGAUAGAUCUAACCUAAAAACAAAAAUAGCGAUGGUAGCGAUGGUCCACUUCUUGCCUGUUUUUGUUUGGGCUUCCUCCUGCAUUUUGUCCUCUACUUUUCAAAUGGGGAAGACGCCAAUUAUUUAACCUGUUUUUGUUGUCAAUUUCCUUCUUUUUAUUUCUCUUUUUCCAAAUCUACAUGUAUGUAUAUUUUGUCUGCUUUGGAAUUUUUUAUCUACUGAUAAUUUAAUUUUAAUUUUUACCUUAUGCUUUCAUUUUAUUUUACAUUUUAAAAGGGGUUCUUUUAAUUUCAGGCCAUUUACCCUUUCUUGCUGACAGCAACAAUUUAGUUACCAUCGGUUUGUUUGCACAAAUGUUCAUUCCUUUCUAAAUAUCAUUCCACUAGAGUUUCACGUGAAUGGUAGUAAUAAAUAACAAAUAAUAAGAACUUAAUGUGAUAAAAAUAGUUUUGGUAAAGGUUGAAACAAACACAUUAUUUUACGAUUUAUUUUUUAGUUUCUACAACCACAUUGUAGUGACACUCGAUUUUAGGGUCAAUUUAUUAAAGAAAGUAAAAUUAUUUUUUCUCUACGUUGUGGGGUCUAGUUUUUAUUCGUUUUUUAGGUUUUGAAAUUUACAUUUUUAUUUCUUAAAUUUUAAAUUUAGUUUUGUUCUAUAUCUUAAAAUGCUAUUUUACCUUAUAAUUAUAUGAUUGUUCUGUAUUAGUAUUAAAGGGAGAACGAGUGUUAUGCGAAAGACGUACUGAAAUUUAUGGAUAGAAUUCACACAAUAGUGUGAGAUUAUUGCAUUAAUUUGAAUUAUUUUGAGGAUGGAUAUUUUUAUCCUAAAAGAAAAGAAAGGAAAAGAGGCCAAUCAUGAGGGAGGCUUUUACUCUUGGCUUUAUGCACUUUGAAUUUUGCAUAAUUUUCUGUCCACAUUAAUUUUUCCCAUAACAAAGAGAAAUCUUGUCCACUCGAUUCUCUUCUUAUAAAGUAUCCAAUUAGUGUUCUUCCAAAUUUUGUUAAUACCAACAAAUUUGAGCCCUAAAAGCUAUAUCAUUUUAAAUUCCCAAGUUGAGAUUUAUUUAUUUAGAAAUUCUCUCUAUUUAGAGGCCACCUACAGCUUUCAUUUGUAAGGAUCAAGAUUGCUGAGCUGAAAAAUAAGUGCUUUAUCAUAUUAUAGGAUUCUUUUUUUAAAUUAAAAAAAAUACUAACAAAAUCCAAUUAGAAUUCUUUUAACUAUAAUUCAACUUGAUAUGUUCAGAUCUUUUACAUUAACCCAUCUUCAUAAUUUACCCACCAACGUUUAAAUAAUAUAGUUGUAAAUAUAUUUUUAUUUAGCUUUGGCUCACUUUGUUGACGUAUUUUAAAAAUAUUCAUUUUAUUUUUUGUAUUUUAAAAAUUAUUCUCGGUUCUUAGGUAUGGAAAAGAAAAUGAAAAUAAAUGAAACAAUAUAAAGUAUAUGAACAAAAAUGGAUCUACAUAUAUUGUUUUUUAUGAGUUGAAGAAAUGUUAAAAGUAUUUUUCUCUAACUUAUUUGAUUUGAAAGAUUUUGUUUAUAAUAUGAAUAUUUGGGUCAAAAUUAGAACCUUUUAAGAGACUAUGAACAAAAUUGGAAAAUAAUAUAAAUUCUUUUAGAAUCAAAAUGCAGUGGUACUCUUUCAAUUGUUCAGCUAGAGACUAUGACUAUAAAUGUUAUAAUUAGCCAUUAAAAGAGAGUAACCCAGCUAGCCUACAAAGCAAGACAAAACUUAUAUGUUUGUUUUUAUAGGGUAGCCCACACCUUUGACCAAAUAACUCAUUUUUAAUUAAUUGAGUUCACCAUUAAUGCAUCAGUUUUUAUGACAAAUUAAUGGGUUUCAUGGAAUAAUAAUAAUAAUCUUUCCAUUUCAAACAAAUUUGUUUAGAAAUUAUUUUAUUUUUGAUAAUCAAUAAACCCCAACUUGUUUGUGGACACAAAGGAGUUUUGAUGAUACAAUAGUAACCAACAUAAACAUUAUAUUAAAAAAGAACAUCGUUAUUCCACUUCAAAAGUACAAACUAUACUAAUAUUUAUAACAAUAAUAAUCCAUGGUGAUUCACUGAGCUACUUGUUCAAGUACUGGCUUUGGAGUGGACAAACUUAGCUGCAAAUCAGGUUGAUGAUGAUGACGAUGAUGAUGAUGAUUGGUUGUUGUUUGAAAAUUGUUGAUCGUAAUUGAGCUUGAAGAUUUGUUGAUGGGGGAUUGAAGAAACUUGAAAUAUGGCUCAUGAUGACGUUGAUUAUAAUGAUACUCAAUCCAAUUGAGAUUUGUUAAUUCUGAAAUAUUUGGAAUUGGAGUUGGAUUCCCAAAGGAAAUAUUAUUGGAUGAAGCUGGUUGGAUAUUAUAAUUAUUAUUGGUUGGUUUCAAAUUGUUGUUGAUGCUGCUGCUGCUGCUGCUGCCUUUUUCAACCACUUGCACUGUCAAUUUGUCCCUUGCUGCAGCACCCUGUUGUCAUUCAUAAUAAACCAUAAACACACAUUUUUCUUUUGUAGUAUAUAGAGUAGUGAAAGUCAUUUACAAUCCCAAUAUUCAAAACCUAAUCAUCAUUGAAUUUGACACCAACCCUACAAAAAAGAAUCAUUCUAAAACACACAACAAUGAAAGGAUUAAAUUGAAAAAAACAACUCAAUUAGCUUUUCUGUUUAUUAUUUGGUUAUUGGAGAACCUUAGAAUUUCAUUUCUGUAGUUUAUAAUUAUAAUUCAGUUUUUAGGAUUUUAUCAAACCAUAUUUACUUAAAUUCUAAUUAAUAUUGAAUUGUAUUUUACUUUAGUGAGUUUUAGUUUAGUAUUAUAUAUUAUAUAGAUACGAACUGGUAUUUAUAUUAAACAAUUAGUUGUUAAACUUCACCUUCCUUCUCGUAUAUAUUUAUUAUCAUUGAGUAUUAUAUGUGUUUAAUUAAUGACUAGUCAAUAAAAAAGGAAAGUCUUAUACGUAUGCAAAUGGGUUAUUUAAAAGUAAUAGAAUAGUGUGUAUUAUUAUUUAUAUUGGAAGAGGAAUAUAAAACAUUAGUGACGAACUAAUUAAAUUUAAGUAUAUAUUGACAAUAUUGGCUUUUGUCUUUUAUUUAUAUGAAUAUUCACUUACUUAGAAAAUUGGGUUAUCAUUCAAAAUUCAAUCUUUGGCAAUUGGCACAGAGAAAAAACAGAAAUAAAAUAUGUGAAAAAUUAGAGAGUUUUGAGAGGGGGAAGUUUACGUCGAAAAGGCUGGGACGACGCUGUUUUCUUUUGUUGAGAGUUGUGAGUCGUAGAAAGUAUUUUUGUGCAUGACUAGCUACUUGAGUCGGAGUUCUUGUCGUCACAAAUUUCCUCGAAAUUCCUCUCCAAUCUCCUUUUCCAAGCUUUUCUAACCCAAUUAGAAACACCUUAUGCUCCUCUUCACUCCAUGGUACACCUAUUCAAAUACCAAAAACAUCCCGAGCUAGUAAGUUGGUGAAACGAUAAAACUAAUUAUAUAAUCAGCUAGAACGGAGAAAAGAUGAAAUGAUAUUCCUAGCUAGAAUUCAAGCAUGCAAUUUAAUGCUUUAAUACCAUAAUUAACCUAAAAAAAUAAGAAAUAAGAAUAGCCAUAUGACCAAAACGAAAAGGAAAAAGAAUAAUUAAAAGAAGAAAAACCAUGUUUUUGUUUUGAAUCUUUUGAAUUCAUGAUGAAUGAUUCAGUACAGUGCAAGAAAAAUUACCUUUUUUUCUUUCAUGGGUUUUGGCGACGAGGCCGUCUGAGAGAUAUCCAUUUGACAAUUUCUCAGAAGAAGAAGAGGACGAUAAAGAUGAAGAAGCCGAAGAAGAAGAAGAAGGCAAAGAAUCCAAACUAAUACUCUUCUUCAACAAGGUGGUAUGAUGAUGAUGAUGAUGAGUUGUUGUUCCAUUAUCAAUGAGUUGAACUCCAAAUAACUUAAACUUGGUUUCUUUAUGCUUUUGAAUGGUGCAAGUUCUUGAAUUGUGACCCACAUUCCCACAGUGUGAGCAUUUCCUCACCAUCUCUCUCUCUAUCUCUCUCUCUCUCUCUCAAAUGGAAUCUCAAACUAACACCAAAUUCUUUCAAAAGUAUAAUAUAAAGGGUUUAAAAAGGAAGGGGUAGCUGUGUUGUUGUUUUGAUUAAAUUAAAUUAAAUCAAAUCAAAUCAAUAGGGUUUGUGUUAAUUAUUAAUUAGUGAAGAAAGAGAUAUGAUCCUCUCCUCCUCCUAGGUUCUUUCUUUAAUGAUUAUUGACGUAAAUAGCAAGUCAAGAGGUGUGUGUGUUUGUGUCUCAUUGGAUCAUAUUCUUUUUCUUAUAUGAUAAUAAUAAUGAUAUGAUAAAACUUAUCCUAAAAAUGGCAUCUUUUUUAAAACUCCCACAUGACCAACGUGACCUUAUAUUUGUCCCAUUCUUUCUCAUAUCUCUCUAUUUUAUUUUAUUCUUUCUAUCCAUUUUCACCUUUUCUUUCUUUCUUUCUUUCUUUUUACUCUCAUUUCUACUUAUUCUAAGUAAGUUAGAUUACAUAUUUGCACACGAAUAGUUUGAAAAUUUUAAGGGUUUUUCUUUAAUCCUAAUAAUACUUCAUUUGAAUUUUUAAAGAAUUUUUUAUACCUAACAAUAGUUUUUGAAAUAUUUAUAAAAAAUUAACAGUAAUAAUACUAAAACUUUUAGAAAUUUAUCAAAAAAUAUAUAUAGUAAAUUUGACAUUCUAUCCAUGUAAAUAUAAGUAAAUAUUUUAAUUUAUUUUACUACUUUAAAAAAUGCUCGAAAAAUUGUAGUAGAAAAUAUUUACAAAAUUUAAAAUUUUAUCAAUUAUGGAUGUAUAUUAUUUGAAGGUGUCUUUUUUUAUUUUUUAAGUAUGAAACAUAAUUUUUUAAAAAAGCUUAAGAAGAUAUGUUUAAUUUUUUUUCUUUAAAUUACUAUUAUUUGUUAUUGAAAUUGGGGUGACCACAAAAUUCCCACCAUACAUUAUUGUGAUGGGAAAAAGGGAGUGAUGUUGAUACCAACCAACAAAACCCUAUUUUUAGUUGGAGAUUUGCCCAAAAAAAAAAAAAGAAGAAAUUUGAAAUAAUUUCUUGAAGAUUGCUCCAUAUAAAAAAAGAUGGGAUAAAAAAGAGAAUGAUUACAAGCAAGUUGGCAGAACAACUACUGAAAUAUCAACAUUCAACACAUUGUGACCAUACAUUUUUGUGGAAGCUAUUUCCAUUGAUUAUAAACUUCCAAAUCAAACAUUUCCAUACAUUCCCUACACACACACACAAAAAUACCAACUGUUUCUUUUAGAUUUUCAACUUUGUUAACUAUCACGUUAAUGUGAUAUAUAUGUAUUCAAUUUUCUUAACAUAUUAGUUAACUUGUCAAGUUGGCAAAAACCUUAAUUUCAAUAGUAUUUUUGGAAAGCAUUUUAACCUAUAGUUUUUAAGACGAAGGACAAAAAUGAAUUCCAUAUGAGUCUAAAGUUCAUUAAUUCUUUUGUAUAUGAUAAGAAAGGUAAGGCAUUGGCCAUCAAAUCUCACCAUUUAGAAAUCCCAUGUUGUCUCCAACAUGGUGGACCAAAUUUCCAUACCCACAAUAUCAUUAUCCCCUCUCUCUCUAUAUAUAUAUAUAAACUAUAUUAUUACUAUUUCUAUAUACUUUGCAUAAAUAAUAAUAAUAAUGCUUUGUGUUUGUCUAACAUGAGACAACUAAUUAACAACUUAUUAUAAUCUCAUUCUCUUUAAACAUAAAACCCUAAUUCACAUUAACCCAACUUGUCCCUGUACUAUUGUUCUAAUAAUAGCAUUUUUCACAUUGCUAUAUAUUUAAUCAUCCAAAAAGUAUUAUUUAAUUGAUUAUAAUUAAUUAGGUGACAAUUUUGUUAGAAUAUAUAUAAGUGAAUUAGCGAAUUAAAUUUAUGAAGAGAUUAUAUAUAUAUUUUUUUUAACCUUUUCAAAUGGUAAAAAGAAUUACUAACACAAUUUAUUAUUUACUUGAGUAUUAAGCAUCAUAUUUUAGGGAGGUGAAAAUGUUUUCUCUACCCAACAUUUACUAAUUAACUCUUUUGUUUUUACUGACCCUUUUCAAACUUUACACCAAAAAUAUCGUAAAGUAGUUUUAAUUUAAGCAUAUAUAUAUAUAGGGUGUGAAAAUGAUAAUGAUGCAUCUUUUUCUUUUAUAAAGUAGUUUGACUUAAUCACCUCUCCCCAUUUCAAUAUUCUUUUCGAUAAUUAAUCAAUGGACUUUCCCUUACCUGCACUCAUCUCGUUUUAAUAUUAAAAACUAAAAUAUCACAUAUACAAACUGCACCAAUCGAUGAUAAGUACUAAUAUCUGUCCAAGAAAUAUGUUUUUUUCUAAGUAAUUAAGAAACCAUCAUGUAUAACCACACUAAUUAAUUAAUUUACUUAAUCUCCUGUUUCUUUGGCCUAAUUAUUAAAAUCCUAGUUGCAAUCUGAAAAGGUGUAGUAUAAAUUAAUUAUACACAUCACACUUUGAAUGUAACCUUUUCUUGUUCCCUUCAUUUCUCUUUAAUAUUUAAGGCCAAGUUGAGUGGAUAUCUUAUUAAUUUAUCAAAAUUAAACUCUAAUAUAUAUUGGUGAAUUUGACUGCUACUUUGGUUUCUACUUUGAUAUAAAAUUAGCAUAUGACAUAAAAAUAAUUAACUAAGUUGUUUUUUAUUCACUGUCGUCUAGUGAGUGAAGGAAGAUAGUUAAAGUAACACAUAAUGUAAGUUAUUAUAUGUUACAAAAUUAAAGCAUUAUCAUUUAAAAUAAUGGGAAUUAAAUUAUAAAUUUAAUAAAUCUUUCCAAACCAUAUAUUAUACUUUUAAUUGAAUUUUACAUUUAAUUGGAUUUUAAACUUUCAAUUUGACUAACCCAUUUAAAUUUUUAGGACUAAAUUUGUAAAUCUAAUAUGAAAUUAAUAUGAUUCAAGCCUAUUAAUUUAAAACAUUGUUGAGUUUCUAUGUAUGAAAUUAUGGUGAAUCUUCUCGAAGAUAGUGACUAAAUAAAAUUAAUUAUCACAUUUGCUAUAGUGACGACUAAAUAAAUAAAGUAACAAUAUCUUAAUUAAGGAAUAACGACAAAAUUAAACUUAUUACAAAUAAUUAAUAUUUAAAACGAAGCAAUAUAGAGAGAGAAGAAUCAAUUAUGGAAAUAAUAAUUAAUGGAAGUUUAAGAUAAUGUUUUAAAUUAACAAAAAAGUAUAUGGACCAAUUUGGUUCUCCAAAGUUCAAAACCCUCUAUUAAUUAAAUUAUAGACAAUUAAUUAAGAAAAUUCAACUUGAAUCUAUAUAAAAGCUUAAUUAAUUUAGAGAUAAUGACCAAAAGCUUAGGGGUUGUGUGGAGAUCAUUUGCUUUAAAAAACCCUACUUAAUUUUUUUUAAUACAAAAUAAUUAUGAGUGAUGGGACCAACUCAACAUCCAAACCAAAAUUUCUAAGGUAAUUAAUUUACAUUGUGGAUAUUAAUUAAUCAUGCCAUUUUUUAUUUCCAAAAUUAGACUUUAUUAUAAGAAAAGUUAAGUCUAACUUAAUUAAUUGAUUACAAAUUAUGAAAUUGACUAUUACACGAUAGGUUGAAGUGAUCAUAACAUAAUACUAAUGCAUAUCAAAUUAAUCUAAUUAGUGCAUCUAUGAUUCUUAAUUAUAAGAAAACAAUAGUGUUUAUAAUUAAUAAUGGAAAUAAAAUUAGACUAAUUCAUUGAAUAUGGUCUAAAUAAUCAGGUAAUUAAUUAAGGCAAUGAAUAUAAUCAAGGGAUGUUCUCUCUAUCUCCAAUAAUCAUGCAUGAUAUAGGAAAUUAAAGUUGAUUAAUUAAGAUGGUUGAAUAUUCCCUAAUGUUGACAUUCUUCUUUCUUUUUUAUUAAUUUUGCUGUAUUGAUUAAUAGUUAUUUUUUAGUCCUGACAUUAAGCUUAAUUAAUUUUACGUAUAGUUUAAGGAUGAUUAAAUUACAUGUGUGAUGUCACUUGAAAAUGUGUUGAUUAUUUAAAUUAUAAGCAACCAUAUUAUUGCAUAUGAAAUGAAAUUAAACACUAAUUAAUUUGCUCUUGCUCUCAUGAUUAAUAUAAUUAAAUUAGCCUCUUUAGGUUACGUGAUGCAUCUGCCCUCUAACUUAUCUUCAAUUGGUUUAUUAGAGUGAUAUAUAUGUAAGAAAAGGAAAUUAAAUUAAAUUAAGAAGAUAAUUUUUCUUAAUUACAAGCUAUCAAAUUGUUAGCUUAAUUAAUUAUGAAGAUUAAUAAGGCAUACUUUAUUUAAAAGAAAACUAUGAUAUACUAUAAAUAAAAGUGUAUAUGUCAUCAUGUAAAAUGAUAUUCUGAAGUUUGAAGAACACACAGACUAUUAAAUUAGUAUUAUAUUGUGAAGACAUGUAGAGAAUUUGGUUACAAAGUUUUGUAUUAGUCAUACAAAUUUUAAUUAAUAUAGGUCUAAUUCAAUCCUUAUUAUUAAUUAAGAUUUAAGUCAAUAAUCCAACAAAAAAGAUUACAUGAUAUUUUCUUUCUCUUGUUAAUUAAUAUUAUUCACACCUAAGCAAUAAUAACAUAUAUUCACAUUAUUUAUAUUUGAAAAAUAUUAAUUAAUUAUACCAAUUUAAAUCUUAUGUUAUAGAGUGAAUCAAUUUAACCUAUUUAAUUUCUAAUUGAAAGGUCUAAAUUGGAUUAAUAUUUUUAAAUUUCAGUGUUCAAAUCAAUAUUCUUACUAACUGUGAGGGGUAAAUAAAUAAUGUACUUAUUCAAAAUUAAGAGAUAUUUAAUUAUGUUCGUUUUACAAUUUAUCAAACGUUGAUCAGAACAAACUUCAUAUAUAAUCUAAAUUAGAGUGAUAUAUUUCAACCGACACGAAUCUCUCACCUAACUCCAAUAAUAAAAAAUAUAACUUGUGAAGUCAUUAAAUUACAUAAUUAAGAAAAACCAAUAGUUAAGAGGAGAAUAUUCAAGAAUCUAAAGACAACUAUACUAUACCAUAAGACUAAGCAAUUUUGGAAUCAUGUCUACAUCUUUUAUCUAACCAAAUAAAACAAACAAAUAAAGUAAAAGCCAUUGACAAACAAAAUUCCUCUAAUAAGCAAACUUUGGUUAUGAUUGAAAAUUAAACUAAGCCAAACUUUGCACCCUAAGUCAAAAAGGGACCCUCCUAAUUAUCUUAAUCACGACUAUUUAUUUACAUCAAUGAGUUUAAUUAUGAUUUAAUGUGUUUUUUAUUAAAAUUUUAUCUCAAUUAAUUUAAAAUUAUUUUUAAAUAUAGUAAAAUAAAUUAAAAUAUUUAUAAAAAUAUCAUAUUUGAUAGGACAUAAUAUAACUAUUUAUUAUUUCUAUUGUCGUAUAAAUUCAAAUGGAAAUAAACUAUGAUUUUAAUUAUUUUUUCCAUCAAUACCUGUUUUUUUUAAGAUGAACAAUAGAACAUUAAUCAUUUAAAUAAUUCUUAUGAAAGAUUAAAAUAUUGGUUUGAAAAAUAAGUCAAUAAUUAUUUUAGCAUUAUUCCCAAUAAGAAAUGCUAUUAAUCUAAUAACCAUUUGAAAUUCUAAGGUUGUGGUUGUGAAGUUUCCUUCUGUACUAAUAUAUAUGAAAUGAAUGCAUAUGUAUAUAUUUAACUUUUAUAUUUUGAAGGAAUCAUAGGUUAUAUGUAUAUAUUUAUAUUUGAAUAAACAUGUCAUUAAAAUACACAAAUUAACAUUUAGAGGUCCAAUUAUGAUUUAAUUUGAUCAUUCCUUUUGUAAUUUUUUAACUUAAUAGAAAAAUGGACAAAUGCCAAACUGAGUAUAUAGAUUACUAUUUAAGCACAUGGUCUCUUUAUUGUCUAUUUGUAUUUUGUCCAAUUAAUUGUUAGUUCUUACACAUCUCCUAGCAAUAAUUUUGAUGUCACAUAUAUCAUAUUAAAGUAUAUUAUAAUAAAGUGUAUCAAAUUAAAUUUAGUUUAUAGUUUUUUUUUUUCUUUGUUAUAGUUCAAAUUUGAUCCCUAUAAUUUUCAAAGUUUCAAUUUAGCCCUUGUUAAUGAUUGAAACUCUCUCCUUUACUUGAUGUCAUCUUCUAAUAUACAUAUAACCAACAUAUUAACAUAUCUUAGAUGUAUUUAAGAUGCAGUAAUGUCUUGUAAUAUAACAAUAGAGAUAAUUAGUAAAAUGCAACCCAACUGUGGUGAUGAAAAUGACCAUUAGAAAACCAGUACACUAAAUUGAAACUAUAACUAAAUUAAUUAGAUGUAUGGAGUGAUAAACAUUCAUAAUUUCAUACCUCCCCACAAUCAUAUCAAUGUAGUUAUUAUAACGUAUAUCAAAGUUGUUAAGUUCGUCGAAACUGCUACUCUCUUUAAUAGCAGCAGGUCAAGACUUCUUUCUGAUAUUUGAGAUUUUGAUCAUCACAACACAUUCUAUUAGAUUAUAUUUCUCUUUUUUGUCCACAAAAUUGUAAUUUAAUUGCUCACAUUUUGGAAUGUAAUGCACCAUAAACUGACGUCCUUUUCGUAUAGCUUAAAGAUCAUUCUCCACAUGUUAAUGUUGCUCUGUCAAAAUGAUAUUCAUCUCUUUGCUUUUCUUAUAUAUUGAACGAAAAUGGACAUUCAAACUCUCACGUUUUGGGCCGGGAUGUUAGGCCCCGGGCCGGUUUCGGGAGUUAUAAAUGGGCCGCCUUUAACUAGUUGGGCUUGGGCCGUAACAUGAAAAAGCAGUAUUGGGCAAAUCCUGUAAUUCAUACAGAAAGCAGGGGUGAAUUUGCAAACUUGGUCAAAAUUUAUUGAUAUCAAUAAUUAAUAUUUACAUAUCAUAGCUUAAAUGAUUUUACUUUAUGGCAUGUAAAGUCUAUCCACUACCAAAAAGAAAUUGCCUUUUUUAACUAUAUUUUCUAUUGUUCUUUAUGUUUAAAUUUUAUAUUUUACUUUUUUUGUCAACUUGAUCUUUUAAAAUAUUACAUUAUGUCAAAUGUAUUAGAAAUUUGUUGAUAAUUUAAAAACAAAUUGAAAGACCAAUGACCAAUUUUUAGGACACAAACAAACUAAAUAUAGUUAUUAAUAGCACCAAAUAAAGGUAUUGAGAUUUUAUGAUAUGAAGUUUAUUAAUAAAAAUUUACUCUCUAAUACAAUUUAUUUAUUUUGUGUCUAAUAGAUUCUAGAAAUUUAAAAAACACUCUCUUAAACUAAAAAUCAUAGCAAAACGAAAAAAGAAAUUGAGAAUAAUGUUUUUAUUUGUUGAGUUCUUUCAAAGAAAAGAAAAAAGAAAUUGAGAAUAAGAUUUAAUAUUUAGAAUAUUAUAAAAGUUGGGACAAAACGAAGACAAGAGUCAUUUAAAACAUACCAUAGUACUAUGCACUAAAAAAUGCUAAUUAUUAGUGACAAAGAAGACCUUUCACAUCUAUGCUUUCACUUUAUUGCUAAAGGGACCUUAUAAAAGCUUCUUUAAAAAAAAAUAUUAAAGGGUAUAUUUUUACAUUCGUACAACUUAUCCUUUGAAGAUAUAAUAAGACUAAAAAUAAUUUUAUUUAGUAGGUUAAAAUUUGUUAUCGAAAGUUUAAGAGUAUAGUUGUAACUUUUACUAUACUUUGAAAAUAGUUUUAAUUUUUGUAGUUAUUGAGUUUUUACAAUAUCAUUCAUGAUGUCAUAGCAAUAUUUAAAAUAUAGAAUUCAAAGUGUGACAUACUAUUUUUUAAAUUCUAACUUGCUAGUGAACUUAGAAUAGAACGGAUAAAACAAAUUAAUGUACUAAUGGUUAGUUUUCAAACGUGUUUGGUUUGGUCGGUAACGUGUAUGUUAGGAAGAUUUGAAACAUAUACUAUUUAGUAGAUACUAGUAUCACAUGUCAAUUGAGUUAUAAGCUGAAGGUAGAUACUAGGAUGUUAUUUUUUACCCUAAGAAAUUUAUUAUAUAGUUCAAAAGCAGGAUCAUAUUUUGACUGAGGAAUAAUUUUGGAGAUAAUGAAAAGCCCAAGAAGAAACCCCAUGUUGGUUGGUUUGAACUUUUGAUUGGUCUCUGUGUCUUUUCAAAACUGAGCACACUGCUCUGAGUCAUGGAGAGGUCCGGACAUUGGCGACCCACCAUGGAACCUCUCUCUGAAUCCCAAUGUGAACCUCUCUUUUAUCUUUCUCACCUUCUCCAUUUUCUUUCAAUUUUCUCCCUUUAAUAAUGGGGGUCGAAAGAGAUUGUGAAAAAAGGCACACAACCCCAAAACCCCUUGAAACCCCUCUUUUUGUUUGUCAAAAUUGUUUGCUUCUUCAAAUUGAAAUUCCAGUUUCUGGGUUCUGAAAUACACAAAAAGCAAAACCCAAGUUGAGAAGAAAAAGGUAGUAAUCAGUAUUCUCUUUUAGUAGUAGUACAGUAUGUGAAACCAAAAAAUGGGUCAGGAAAAAGAGCUAAGCUAAGAGACAUUGAAUUUGAAAUAUUUUGUCUUGCAGUGUGGAUUGCCAGCAUUUCUCUGUUUGGGUUUGCAGGCAAACCAAGCAAGGAACAGACCCCACAACCUCAGUUUUUCACACUCAACCAUGUGGUAAUGGUAAGAAAAAACAUAUAUUUACUAUCAAUUUUAGUUUCCUGAGUUUUUUUCUUUUCUUAUUUUUGUCAUUGUGCUGUCAAAGAAUUUGUUCUUGGAAAAUCAAUCUCGAGGUUUGAGUUUCUUUAUUAUCCAACGUGGAAGCUGAAUGAUAAUUACACUUGAUUUUAAUAAAUGUACUGUCUUUUCUGUGAAAAAUAUUUUUUCUCUUUAAACUUUCAAGAACCGUACACUCUUUGAAGCAUAUUUUGUCUAUUAAACUCUUCAUUAAGAAAGAACCUUCUCUUUCCGUUCUUACUUGAGUAAUUAUUAAAGCCCACUUUAUGAGAGAAAGAGGUCUUGGUUGGAACUUCUUGAACCUGAAACGUUAGUUGACCUUGACAGGACAGAAAUUGGAUUAGUACUUUCAGAGAGACAAUUGAGAUGGUUAGAAAUUAAACCCCUUUAAUGGUUUCACUUACCAAGCCUGCAGUGCAGAGAAAAAGGCAAAAGCCAGAAGCAUUCUCUCUAGUAACAGCUACAUGGAAGUGUUGCACCAACAUUGAGGUUGUAGGUCCACAUUAUUUCCUCUAGUUAUUUCUGGUCAUUAUCCAGAUCCCAUUAUCGCUACUUGGUCAGAGCUCUAAAGAAAAAUCAGAGAAAAGAUUUAGAAAAUGGAGGGAAAAGUUUGGGUUGUAUCACAUCAGAUCCAACGGCAGAGCUCUAGAUUUAAGAUAGAAUGGUAAUGGAAAAUGGAAUCCUGAUCCGAGAAAUGAAGGCUAUCUAUUUGCAUUGUUUCAUCAUUCUGGUGUUACUCAAUGAAUAACCAUAAUGGUCCGAAUACGAAUAUUAAGGAAGGUUAGUCUAAUAAUUGAAGAAAUGCAUACACCCAAAACUAGCUGAUGGGUGCUGUUUUCAUUGCGAGACAUUAAAUUUGUCAAAGAUAUCCCACAAGAUCUUCUCGUCAGUUUUGGUUUGCUUGCAUCAUCAUUUUCAGGCUCUUUUCUCUCGCCUUUCUCUGAGACUAUAUCUGUUCAAAAGUACACUGCUGAAACAGUAGUCUCUCUUUUUUCACAUUUGAUUGCCUUAAGUUCUUAGUUGUUUGAUUCUGAAGAGAAAGUGUGAUACUUUGUUACUGUAUUACUCUUGCUUCUCAUCACUUUGGCUUUCUUGUUCAGAAUAGCUUAAAAAGAAAGGGACUGUCUGAAAAAUGGUGCUGAGAAGACCUGGCAGGAACAGGAAUUUCAACAGAGAGAAUCCAGAUAUUUUGAUUAUGAUGAUUGCAGUGGAUCAGAUAAUAAGAGGUUGUGAGCAGGACAAAGGAGAUGGCACAGAGAGGAAGGGGAUGGGCCCUUUAAAGCCUGCAACAAAGAGUGAGUGGUUUCUGCAUCCCAAGAGCUAUGGUCUCUCCUCUUUCUUGCUCUCCACCCCCUGGUUUUCUCUUGUGCGGCUGAUACUUCCUUCUAUCUUUAUUUAGUGGGUCCAUUUCCUCCAUCUCCACCUUCAUGCAGAGUCCUCUUUUUUGCCUCUUCACUCUCUCUCUCUUCCUUUUAAUGGUUCUCUGAGAUGGGUGUCAUUCAUUUUCCAGAGCUGUACGUAUUUUAGCUUUAAAGUUUGAGAACAGAGAUUGAGAUUAUACAUCUCCCUGCCGUUCAAUCCUCCAAACUUAAGCUUCUCGGGGUUUGAGCGCUUGAAGCUAUUCCAUUCUCCUUUUUUCAUGCAAAAUUUUGUAUCACUUUUCUUUUACCAUCGGCUUUAUGUUGUUGUGAUUUGGCAGAAGCCGGAAAAGUGGGAAUACAGCACCAGUCAUUAUUACUUCUUUUCCCCUUGUUUUUUUCUAUAAAAGCAAAGCUUCUCUUCCACUUUAUCUGAACUUUCACAAUGGCACCCUUUUCUGGAGAAACAAAAGAAACCAAGUUCUUUGAAUCUUCUCCUUUUUCUUUUUUAAGUUGUCUUUGAUCACCUGUGAGUGAAGAACCAUAAAGCAGUGAACAUUAUAGCAAUUUUUUUUCGUUUUAUAACUUGCAGGUUUAAAGCUCUUCACUAAGCCAUCACAUCCAUUUAAUUUGCUUAGAAAUUCAGGACACGGUCAUUUUUUUUUCAGGGGAUUUGGUGUGGGGCUUUCGCUCUAAGUUUCUCAUCCUAUAUAGGAUGACAGAGAUUCAUCAAAUGGAAGGUUGGUUUCUUUGUCAUUUUAUGCUAAUGGCUCAAUGUUUAUGUUCUGGCUGGUGGUUUACAGAGUGAGUUUUGAUGUGGACCUUUAUUUCUUCUGUCUUGUAUGAUGUUAUGUUUGUUCCCUCCUUUGUAUCGUGUGUCAAAAUAAAUUGAACAUCUUCAACGAAUGGCUUGUCAAUAUUAAUUUUUUGCUGGUCCCUAAACGUAACAUGCUUUUCACUCUUGUGGCAAUAGGUUCUGGAUAUGUUACAACUACUAAUUUCCCUUUCCAACUCUGAAUAAUAAUAAUAUAGCAUAGCCUGUCUCUAGAGGAAUGUGAAUUUGGAUGUCUGGAUUGAGCUGCAAGUUCAUUUCUUUUUCCAUUCAACUGAGAAGUUCAUUUUUUGUUUGAUAAUGCUAUAUUGACUUAUAAAUGCUAUUGAAAUCGCAGCUAAAAAGUGAAUGUGGUUUGAAUCGAGUAUGUUAAUCUCAGCUGUUGCUUUGGAUAAAGAAUGGUAGUUUUCCGUCUAGACUGCGUAUGGGUGGGCGAAUGAUUUGAUGAAUGCUCUGGUGGAUAUGGUAAACCCAAAUUCUGUUGUUGUAUGUGAAAUUCUGCCUCUUGGCUUUUAGAACUCAGUUGAUACGUCCAAUUAAUGAACUAAGCAAUAUUACAGCUGGAUUUCCUAUCUUUUUAAGUCUGCGGGAGUCUGGAUGCUCUGCUCUUACUAGUGCUGAUAAUCAUAUAGUUGAACAAUUGACAUUUUGAGGUUUUCCAAUGUCUACUGCCCUGCAACGAAUCGAUAUGGGAGAUGCUUGUCUGGGUCCCUCUGGUAAUGCUGAGUUUCAAAAUCAAUUGGCAGUAGCCAUUCCUAUUUCUCUGUUUCAAUCUACCUCUCUUGCUCCAGUGAAUGAUAUUCGUGGAAAUACAAAAGAUUCAGCAUUUCCAGACCCACAGUUCCAGCAAUUAGAAACCUUUAGAACGUGCUUCUUACACAGUUACUCUAAUGCUUCAAAUUCUUCAUUUGCAAGUUCUCUGAUCUGUGAAGGUGAUGAGUCUCUAUGUAAUGCAAAUAAUAAGUGGGAAAGCGAUAGGUUUCAUUGUAUUCAGCAACUUUCUGGGGAGAAUCCGGAAACAUCUGAUUCCCAGACCGUCUUGUCCAUGGAACACCUGCACCAGAAUGGCUGGAUGUCAUCUAACACUAUGAACUCUAAGUUAUGGAAUGAGCUUUCUCUAAGCCUUGCUACAACCGAACCCGUCCUCAGUGGAGGAACUGAUUUCCUGGACCAGUAUUCUCAGUUGACUUUUUCUGGUGCUACUCAACCUUGCUUGAACAGCACAGAAUUAGCCUCGAACUUAAAUUCAGGCAGCUCUAGGGACCUCUCUCUAAGUUAUGGAUGUGGUAAUUCUGUUCGCCUUUCUCGAGCAAUAGCAGGAUCUAGAUAUCUUUCGGUCAUUCAAGAUGUACUUUCUCAAAUUGCAAGCUAUCCACUGGAAAACUCAGAUCAAGUUGAUCAUUCAACUACUGCAACUGGGUUUGUGCCGUUGUCAUCAUCAAGUUCCCUGGAUGAUGCAACGAUUGAAUAUGGUUCUGAUGUUACUGGUAGAUACAGUUCUCAAAUGGAGCCGGAAUGGCAAAAUCUAUCUGUUGAUGCCAAGAAGUCCCAUCUGUUGACUCUACUACAAUUGGUUGGUUAAUUUAAUAUAGCGUUUCUCUGAUUUUUAUCUUUUUACCCUUCUUAUACUGAAAAACUUGAUAGUGUUUCAGAUUGAUGAGAGGUACACUCAAUGCUUGGAUGAGAUUCAUACCGUUACUUCUGCGUUUCAUGCUGCUACUGAUUUGGACCCUCGCUUGCAUACUCGAUAUACACUCCAGACGAUCACUUCGGUGUAUAAAAACUUGAGGGAGAAGAUUACCAGUUGUAUUUUUGCUAUUGGGAAGCAUUCUAACGCAACGUGCACCAAGGAGAAGGAAAAAUUCUUUGAGGCAACAUUCUUACAGAAGCAGUGGGCUCUCCAGCAGUUGAAAAGGAAAGAUAAUCAAUUAUGGAGGCCACAGAGAGGCUUGCCUGAAAAAUCUGUCUCCGUUCUUAGGGCAUGGAUGUUUCAAAAUUUUCUCCAUCCGUAAGAUUUUGUGACAAAUCUGGUUUACUUUUUGAAGAUACGUAUAGUAAGUUGAAGGAAUGUUUGUUCUUUGGUGAUUUUUCAGGUACCCCAAGGACACAGAGAAGCAUUUACUUGCAGUAAAAAGUGGAUUAACUAGAAAUCAGGUUCUUGCUGCUUCAAGAUUUCCUUCAACUUUCAUGAGUUCUCCUCACUUUUACUGAGUUCUGCUAUUCUGGACUUUGGACAGGUGUCUAAUUGGUUCAUCAAUGCUCGUGUCCGAUUGUGGAAACCGAUGAUCGAGGAAAUGUAUGCUGAAAUGAGCAGAAGAAAAUCCAAUCAAAAUGAGGAGGGAAUCGAAAGAAUUCAUUGUCCCAGAUAAGCAUUAGCAGUGAGAAGAUGUGGCUCGAACUGUGAAAAUGAUAGACAGUAUUGAGCACUGUAUGGAACUUGAAUUGAUUAGAAAAGUGUACUAGACUGAAUUAAAUUCAACUAUAUAUUCUUUUUGACAAUUUAACCUGAGAAAUUUCUUUAGCUUCGCAUUCCUGGCUACAUCAUAAUAGACAAUAAAAUGCAAUUAGUCAGCAGAGAAACAUCACCACAAACUUCAUUCUGAAAAGAAGGAAAAAGAAAACACGAUCAAUAAGCGAAGUUCAAUCUAAAAACAUUAUUUAUUAAUUGAAAAUAAAUAAUUCUGAGAUUUACAGAGAAUGGUGCCCUCCUCCUCAACUAACUCUUUUGAUUACAAAUGAAAGAAUGACAAUUUCUGAUUUCUGCCUAGAAGUUUUCACUAUCAAAUAUUCUGUUUCCUUCUUUAUCUACACCCCACACCCACACCUCUCAUUCACGAACUGAUGGAUUGCCAAAGAAAAAACAAAAAAAACUGUCCCAACUCCUCACAGUACAUAUAAAUACAAAAAGUGAUUAAUAUUUUUUGUUGCGCCUCCUUUCAUCGUCUUGUUGUUCUAGACUUGCAAGGAGAUUCUUGUUUUUAUCGGUUUCAACUUCAAUCCCAUACUUUCUGGUGACAGAAGCUCGGGAGCUAUGCAAGAAGGGCUCAAGGGGCUUCUUGGGCUGACGCUAAAAUGAGAUGGCCUAUACAUGCCAUAUCCCAUGAGAAAAUACUCCAUAGGUAUCAACAUUGCAUCAGGCUGCUCCUCUGUCACCAUUGACCCACAUGACUGAACCUAAGAUGUGAGAAUAGCCCCUUUUAAUUCAUAGUAGUAUAAAGCUCGGUUUAUGAUUUUCAUGUAUAUUUAAUCUCCAAAAAGGAAAAAAGAAAGUUCAACAUACUUCCACUAGGGCACUGUAUCUUCUGUCUAGUUUGACAGUCAUGUGGUGAGCCUCUGAAUGGAACGGGGACCUGUCCCCAACAAAUAUCAAUGAACGGCACUUUAGUUUCCGUAACCCUUCUGAAAUGUCGGGUCUCCUGCAUGAAAGAAAAAAAAAGUUUAGGAGGGCCUUCGACCCCAUAUGUGUAUCAUCUAACUAAUGUAAUUUCACAUCAGAGGUAUAGAGGAAAAGGACCCCAACAAUUGUCAAGCACAAAUUCAAAGAUUGGAGUUAGAUGCUUACCCAUUCAUUGCUUCAAGAAACCUCCAGACGUUUGAACUUUGCCUCUCGUCAAGUGACUGUAGAAAGAACAUGAUCAUAAUGUUUGAUCAAACAAAUGCUCAACUCUUAAAAUCUGUCAAGUUUUCCAACUCUGGAAUAACUGACAGUUUAAAGUUGCUAAAAGAAAACGAUGAAAAUGCUGCAGUACUCACUCUUCUGCAUGCUUGAACUAAAUCUGACUCUGGUACUUGAGAACAACCACGAGCAUCCUACAACCAGCACAGUACAAAUGUCUAAUCAAACUCAGUUGGGAUGAAUAACUCUAGUAAGAGAGUUUGAGUUUGUGCAAGUAAACCUGCAGUUGGUCUGUGUUUAAGUUGAGAAGAAAAAAGAGUUUAAAAGUUCACACGUUCAAGUGCAAUUUUCAUAUCAUCAAAUUGGUUUUGAAGGAAUAAAAACCGAUUUCAUGGUGAUUUUGAAAACAAAGCAAUUUUCAUUUUUAGACCUACCUUACUGAAAUACCGCUUCAGCAACAACUCCUUCACUACCCCACACAUGCCAUAGAAAUAAAGCAAAUUUGACAUCACCUGCAUAUGGAAAAUCUGUUAAUAAGAUGAUUCCAAUAAACCAGAAGACGAUCAUAAUAGUUCUUUCGUUCAGAAAGACGACCUUAUUAUACAACCAUUCUGUCCAACAGGGCGCUGUGCAUAUGGGAGAAAUCAAUAUCAAACCAUGAACACGAUGUCUGUGCUUCAUCUGCAACCAACAAGUGCAAUCAAUAUAUGACAAAAGUUUACAAGAGGAACUGAAAGAAAAAACCAUGGGGGGGAAGGAUAAAGUAAUCAAGUGGAUGGUGAACAAAGAGAAAAAUUACAGCAAAGAGAGUGAGGAUGUAUGCUCCAGCAGUAACACCCAUACACAUCACAGCACUAAGUCUGGGAGAAAGAUAAAGAAGAAGAGUAAGUCAUCAGAUCCGUGCAUAUUCAUUUCGGAUAGAGCUCAAGUGUAAAACAAAUAAAACAGCAAAGCAUCAGACCAGUGGAAUUCAAAACUUUAAACAAGUCGAAGUUAUUAAAAAAAAAUUGAAGAUAGCCAAAAGGAAUAUCGAAUUACCCAAAAUAGUUAAGAACUUCAGCAAUUUGAUCUGCUAAGUCAUCUGCAGAAAGUACAGGAUCAUCAGGGCAAAUUGCAGCAGCUCCUAACUGCAACUCUUGAACAAGGUCCCAUUAUGAGAAGAAUUCAUGUGGAAGUAAAAAAGACAACGUACUUGUUGGAAAGUUCAGUUUCAUUGAAGCAACACCAAAAAAAAAUUACACAGUAGAUUAUUUUGUACAUAGCAUAGAUUAAAAGAAAUUCACUCGUACAAAGUAAUUUAUUUUAUGUAUGUGUGUGGAAAAAAAAAUAAUGACAUCAGUAGAGAUAUUAGAACAUCCCAAUUAUACAAACCUCGUGUCCGGGAGGGCUGAUAUGAUAUAUGCAAAAGUUGUGAAGCAAUAACGAACAAGCUUCUGGACAAAACAUUAAUCCUUGGAAGCAGAACAUAUCUGAUAAAUAAUAAAACAUAGCACGUUUAAACAUUGGUAACAGGAAAAAUUAAAGAAAGAUUCUAAAAAUCAAAGUCACAAGUCAUAGAAUCAUUUCAUUUUAACCCCAUAUCACAAUUUAUUAACCUUACUAUCCUCUUUAAAUAACUUAUUUUUGUCUAUUUUCAAAGAAUAAGCUUGUCUAAUAAAAAUAAUGGAUUUCAAAAGCUACUAUUAAAAGAUUUAACAAUUAUGUGGGUGAAAACAAACCAAAAAGGCAGAUGUUCCAGCAAAAGGACUGUAGAUAAUAGAGGUAAGAAUAACCAAUAUUCUGGAUUCCAAAAAAUUCAACACGUUAAAUUUAAAACAAAAACUCCAUCUAAUCAACCUUAAACUCCAAAGUGUGUCUAAUUUAUUCAAAGACUCCACUUCUACACUCAAAAUCAUGUUUUGAAUAACAAUUUACAUGACACAUUCUACAUACUCACGAUUUAGAGCUAAAUCGGGAUAAGUGAUUAAAGCUGGCUUGUCCAGGUCUCCAACCACGGUGACAGAAACAACACCAUAACAGGUUUUCACAAGAUACUCCUGCCAAAAAAAAAUCGAUUGAAGAAAUAUUAGUUUUCAAACGUAGUCAUCUGAACUAGAGAAUGGACGCACCAAAAAAAGGCGGCAAGUAAUACAGAACCAUAAAAUGAACUACUAUAAAAAGGGAAUUGCAAAAGCUUAAAUAUAAGGAAAUUCGCAGUUGAAGACGCAAACAAUAAAACAGAUUAAAGAAAGUUAGUCUACUAAAAUUCAAAAUGUAUUUCUAAACUAGUAAAAAUCCCAACAUCCAUCCACUUUUGGUAGACCGUUGAAUUCCGAACGAAAAUCAACACCAAUUACCCUUAGAAAAUCUAACUAAAAUCAACAAUGCACAUCCAAAAACCUUAAUUACCUCCGUGUAAAACGAUCACUAAUUACACGAAUUCAUCCAAUAAAAAACAUAACGAACCCCAUGUUUCAAUUCAAUCCAAACUUCCCAGCAUGUUCUCAAAAAGCAAACAAAGCACAGUGUUCAAACACAUGAAACCAGACGGAUUUACACAAGCAACAGGAAAUGCAGGUACCUUUCCUCCACAAGAGAUCGACUCCAUAUCCACCGAAACCGAGUCGCUCGAAUCCCCCAUUUCCUUCUUCCCUUAUUCUCUCACCUUUCUCUCUUCCCCUAAAUCCUCCUUCCCUUAUUCGCUACUCAAUACACAGAAUGCUCCUUCUUCCUUUUAUAUACCACCAAAUCUCUUCAACAAUUCCACCACUACAUUAUUUGGGGGAAAAAUUUCAACUCGUCCCUUCGAAUCGUCCGAGUCAAUACGAGUCACCGACGCCGCGUUCCCCUUCCAUCGCACAUUGACAGAAACCUCACGAGCGCCCUGUAACGAACAAACUAUAACCCGAUACCCUGGUUGGUUUAACCAUGGUUAGGAAGCCGACAGUUUAUUUGAAAUUACUUAAAUACCCACAAUUUCCCUUGACAGCGACCUCCUCUCUUACCACAUGAAAAAGGGCGAUUUUCGUCUAUUCACGUUGAUUUUUUAAUUAGUAAUAAAGAGGGAAAUAGUAAGUAGUUAAGCUUUGACUAAGGAAGAGAUAAAAUGAAAAUAAAAUUAAUAUAAGGGAAGUGUUAUUUUUAUUUGUGGGACCUGCGUUUAUUUAAAGUAACGUAAUCAUUUAUAUUAUAAAGUAUAUAAUCUGUCACAAAUUUUGGGGAGAGGUUUUUCCUUAUUUUUCUUUUUUCAAUUAUUCCAUUUAUAAUAUGGUAUUGUAUUUUUGUUAUUUAUUGCAUUGCCUAAAAGUGGGGAGUGGAUUUAAUGAAAAUAAUUUUAGAGGAUCUACUUGUUUUUAAAUUAGUUUCUGUUUUUGUUAAUUUUGUUUAAUUACUUUUUUUUGUGCAUAAAUACAGUUGAGUUUUUAAUAGUAUUGUUGCACCAUUAAAGUUAAAACCUUUUCUUCUUCUUUUUCUUUUUAAUAAGGUUAGUUGUCAUAUACCAUAUUUUCUUGCCCUAAUAGAUUUCAUCCGUUUAUUGAAUAAUAAAUUAUUGCCUUUUUAAUUAAACUUUCUAUAAUACUCUAAAAAAAUAUCAUUUCGGGAUGAUUUUGUUUGGUAUAGGUGUGAAAAUGAUAGAUUGAAUCUCCAACUUAGUGAAGUAUAUGUGAAACAAAGUUCAACUGACAUUAGAUGUGUAUUGUCACAUUCUAUGUUAAAGGAUACCGAAUUCAUGAAUCUUCAAAACAAAAAACAUUAAACAAUAACAUGCAUCCAAACUAUUGUAAUAUUUUCGUGUGAAUGGUGUUGCUUGAGCGAACAUUUUUUAUAAAUAACAAUGAUGAAAUGUUACAAUUCUAAAAAAAAAUAACUAAAUUUUUUUUCAAUUUUUAUUACCCUUUAUUUUAUUAAAGAAAUACCAUUGAAACCCUUCUUAGAGAUUUUACUUACAGUGUCAAUUAUUUACGUAUAUACUUAUAGAACAAAAUCAUUAAAAUAUAUAAUUUGUUAGGUGUAAAUACAUCCUUAAAUGUUAUAUUUUUUUACGAAUUUUUCCUUAAAUUUGUAUAGAUUUAAAAAUAUUUGAUGUUAUAAGUUAAUAAAAGAAAAUGGUUGAAAAAUGGAAGAAUGUCCACGUGUAAAACAUAAGUAAAGAUCUCGACCGUGUAAUGUUUUAAGGAAUGCAAUCGAAAUAUUUUAUCUUUCAAAUAAAAUAAUACAAAAAGUAAAAAAGAUAUAUAUAUAAUAUAUAUAUAUAUAUAUAUAUUAAUAAUAACAUUAACAUAAUAUGUUUAAGAGAAGUGGAAGCAUAUAAUAUGUUAUCAUUCUUAUCCUCUUUUCUCUUUAUGCUUUACUCUGUUUUGGAAUUUUGGUCCACUAAAGAUAAGUGAAUGCUUCUUUCUUUCUUUUUCUUUUGAAAUAUUGAGAGAAAGAAAUGGUUGAUCAAAAUAUUAUAAUAAAUAAGUAAAAUACAACAUUUUGUUUUAUAUAUGCACGUUAUAUAUUUCACUAGGUUUGGAAAAUGAUGCGAUAUAUGUAACUCUAGAAUAUCAAACGUGGAGGAAUUUUAUUUGCUUAUUUGAUAAAGUUCUUUUAAGUUGAAAAGUUCACGUUAGUUUGUAAUUAAAACUUAAAACAUCGUAGUAAAGAUGAGAAUUAUCUUAACACAUGCAAUGUAGUGCAUCGUUUCUCAUCCAAACUUCAUUGUAUUGUUUGUUCUUCGUACUUCAUAUUGCAAGUGUAUUUUUAAGGUUUUUUUUUUCGUAAAUUGAUAAUACAAUUGCAUCAUACAAUUAAGCUAAGUUUGUUUGUUCUUUUAAGCAAAUUAAAAAUUAACAUGGUGUGUCUCGUACUGUUUUAAUUUUAGUUAUACUUGUUAAUUGAACAUUAUUAGACAAUUUAAUUCAAUAGUUGAUUUGUUAUAGGAUACCUUAUUUAAAUUAUAUAUUUAUUAUUUUGUUGAACGAUGAAUCGAAGACUAAUAUAAUACAUAUGUGAUUAUGUAUUUUUUUUCAAAAUGUGAAUAUAUUGCUAUAUUUAUUUGUUAUAAUAAAUCUAUUUACAUUCGAAUAAAAAUAACUAGUGAAUUUUGUAUCUUUUCAUUUAAUUUGUCUUCUAUAUCUCACAACAAUUGUCAUGCAUGGCAUGAGUUGGUCCCACGAAAUUAAAACAGUGAAUUGAUUGAGCAAAAUAACUAAGUUGGAUUUUGAUGGUUAUUAAGCAACGAUAAAUCACACAAUAAAUUAGAUAUUCGACGUGCUCUUAAGAGCAAUAUAGAAAGUAGAUAGUUAUUACAAGAAUAAACGAUGAAAUCACGUCAACAAAGUAAAAAGAAAAAGAAAAAACAACACAAUAAUGUUGAAAUUUUUGUUUAAUCAUAUUUUAUACUUUAUCAUGUCAAAAAUUAAUUAUGUACUCUCCAUCAACAAUCUUAAAACAAAGUCUUUAGUUUUGUAUAAAAAAAAAUUGAUUAAUAAAAACAAUUAAAUAUGGUAUAAAGUAAUUUAUAUAAUAAACCUUUACACAAUUUAAAAUUAAUAAUAAUGCAGUAAAUCGUGAUGUUAUUAGUAAAGGAAUGGACAAAAAAUCGCACGCAUGUGUCACGUGAUUAAUUAUUAAAUAGUAAAAUUAAACAUACCAAAUCACAUAAUGAUUUUAAGGUUGGAAAAUGAAUAUAUUUAACCAUAAAGUGUAGUUAGGUGAUGUUAUUAUUUUGGAAUUUAAAUGGGACAUGUAGUGCCUUUCCUUAAACUAGAAACCAUGACCAAAAAAAUUACUGAGGACGCAAAAAACUAUGCUAUAAAAUAAAAAGCAACGUCUGAAUUGAAGUUCUAAUGUCCUUCCCCCAUCAACAACAACCAUUAAUAGCUCCACCCCAACUCAACACCAAAAUCCUUUUCCAAGUUUAAUCCUUAGAUCUACUCAUCCAUUCUUUGUUAUACUAAACCUUUUUCACUGUUACAUCAAUUUUUUCAAAAGGUUCUAGAGUCAUCAUAUGACGUUGAAUUUUAUUUUUUUUCCGCUAUCUUCUUUAUCAAGUUUGAAAGGUGGUUCGAUUUUUCAUUUGGUUUAUAUAUCUAGAUAUCAAAUUGAACCAAGGAGAUUUGUUGUAUAUAAAAGAAACCACGUCGAUGUACAUAACAAAAUAAAAAAUCAACUUUUAUUCGAUUCAAUCGACUUUUUUCUUUUGAAAAAUUAAAAAAAUAGCAAAUUUUACAAAAUAUUUACAACUUAUAGUAAAUUUUGUAAAUUCUAGUGAUAGUCACCAACCAAUAGAAUCCAAAUUUUUGUUAUAACUUAUAAAAUAUUUUAGUUUAUUUUGUUAUUUUUAAAAAUUGUAUUCUUUUUAUUUAUCAAAAAGGAAAUAUAUGACUUUUUAGACUAUAUAUAUAAUAAUAACAAAAAAAGAGGGAGAAAUAAGAGAAAUAUGUAAUAAACUAUUUUUGUCUUCUUCCCAUUUAGCUUGCUAGUGCAUGUAACCUAUAUUCUAAGAAAUAAAGGGAAAAUAAUUAUAUUGGGGACUUUUGAAUGGAGAUAGCUAUCUGUUUACAUUAAUUUCAACAUUUACAAGUAAAGCCAUAAACAAUUAAUAUUGAUGAAUUUAUAUGUGAAAAAGCUACCAUAUAUAUUAAAUAUAUAGUUUAAAUUAUGCUAUAUAUUUAUGUUUCUUGAAAUGGAAAACAUGUUAGGAUGGUUACGUUAUUCAUUUUUAACUUUCCUCCUUGAUUUAUGGUUGCAAAAUUCAUAAUAUAACUUUUAAUAAGUUGACUAUAAAAAUCAUUAGAUGUUAUUCGAAUAAUAUCGGUUAAAUUAGAAUAAUAUAACACAUUAAAAAUAUUUGGACACACCAUAAGAUGCCCAAAUUAAAUGUUUAACUAAUACAAAUUAUCUUUUUAUUGUUUGACAACUUAAUUUAAUUUAAAGAGGAAAUUUCUAAUAUAAUAGUUUCAAAAUUGUUGACCACCUAGGCCGCUACUAAGAAUCGUGUGGAAUCUAUAAUUUAUUAAUUAUAAUAAUUAAUGGAAAUGGUAGGUAAUAUAAACUUCUACUAGUAUCUCUUAAAGUUUAAAUUUACUAUAAAGAAAAUUAGAAUUUGAGUGGAAAUUAAAUGGUCUUGAAUUUGGAAAGGUAAUUAAUUCACCUAAAUGGAUAAACAUCUAUAAUUUUUCUUUUUCUUUUCCUUCCAACUCGUAGGCACCUUACUAUGAUGCUAUAUCGAAACUAUACUAAAAUUAGAUGUACUUAUAAAUAUUUUCUAAUAUGCUCUCACUGAUUCCAUGUGAACCCCAAAAGGAAAAAAAAACGUUAAACUUAACCAAAAAAUCAAAAGUAAUUAAGUAAAAUCUCAUCGUCAAUUAAUUUCAAGUUUGGUAUCAUGGUCGAUAUCAGACCAUGUUGAAAAUUUCACACAUUGAACAAACUAAGAAAACUCACACUAAUACACAAUAUAAACCUUGAAUGAAACAAUAAGUAGAUAAAUAUCUCGUUACUCGAACAAAUCAUAAAUAGAAGAUGUGAAAGGGAAUUGAAUGGGAGGGAGGGAGUGAGUGAGAGAUGUUUUUAAAAAGGAAGAAAUAUUUUUGGGAAAAUGAGAGAGGGGGAGAAAGCAAUUAAAAGCAUGGGGGGGACAAUUAAUGACAUUAAUUGAGAGUAGAGGCAUAAAGGUAUAGAAGGAAAGGGGGAUUGGAAAGAAGAAGAAGAAGAAAUGCAAUAAUAGCCAAUGGCAAGCAUGUGAGUGUCCUUAACAAAAGCAUUGAAAAUUGAUUGCCCAAAUGAAAUAGUUUUACUUCUGAUUUGGCGCUCUUUUUGCUGCGGCUAUCGCGUUCACAUGUGCUUCUUCCCCCCUCCCCUCGCCCCCAUAUGUUGCUUACCACUGCCCUAACUUCAAUCCUCCACCGACACAUUUCAAGCCCUUUUUCUUUCCUCUUUUCAAAUAUCAUCCCUACCUCAUCUUUCUUUAUUAUAACAAAUUAUUCUAAACUCUAAUUCAAUAUUUAUAAAAUGUAAUAAAAUUUUAGAUUUUGUAGUGAUAAACGUUUAUGAAAGACUGUUACCGGCUUGAUGAUUUUUGUUAUAUUUGAAAAUACUCAACUUAAUAUCGCUUUUCUUUUAAUAUUUGAGGUUGAAUGUAUGUUAAUUAAUUCGUUUUUCGUUAAUUCUUAGACACUAACGUUAAACAACAAUUAGAGCUAGUAUAUAUUUAGUACCAACUACAAUUGAAAAAAAGUAUAAUAUAUUGAAAUUUUUUAUAAUAAUAAUAAUAAUUUAUAAUUUGUUUUCAAAUCCGAAUAAUUAAUAGACUAAAGUGACCAUUAAUUAUCAAAUAUUGGUUUGGGAAUCAAAACAGAGAGACGUAGAUUAGAUCACAAGUGUGGAUAGUGGAUAAAUAAAUUAGAAGGAUAGAAUAUUCAAUUCAUUCAAACCAGAAACAUUUGAAUAUGGUUCAUUAAUUACUCAUUAUAUUUUAUCUUCGUGAAAUUUAAAUUAACUAGUAUUUAACCAUUUUUCAGUAAAGAUUUGAUCGAAUCUUGAAUAUUUUGGUUCUCAACACAUACAAGUACCAAUUGAAUUUAAUUUUUAUGAAUGAUUCACCAAUAUUACGUUGAAAAAAGCGUUUAAAUUUGUUUCUUUUAAAUAUUGCAAAAAUAAAUUCAAACCAUAUACACUCCCUGUCCUCAAGUAUUUUUUAUAAACCAUAUUAUAUAUAUUAUUAUGUAUUUGUGUAAUGUGUCGAAUAAAUAGUUGGAUGAAUUUUUGCUAUAUUUAUAAUAUAUGGUUUGAAUGUUUGAUAUUAAUGGGUAUUUGAUGCAUAACCAAUCAUUAAAUAAGAAAGAAGAAAAAGGGAAAAAAAGGGGUUCUGCCCAUAAUAAAAUACGUGCCGACAAUUCAAUUCACACUCACCUCUCUAAGCUUCAGAAUAAUUAUUAAAUGGUGGGCUAAUGAUAAAUAGAAAAUAGUAAAACUAUCAAAUUUUUUUUUUUAAUUUCUAUCUCAUGCAUUAAACUAUGUAACAUUAUUAGUCCUAUAGUAACACCUCAACCAAAGCUUAUGAUAUUUAUUUUGACAUUACAUUGAUAUAUUUGAUAAGGUCUCUUAAUCAAGGAUUCUUGAAUGUUAGCUUUUAAUAUGUAUUUGCUUGCAGUGGAUUUUUUAAAUACUUUGUUGUUGUUGUUUUUUUUUUAUAUAAUUAAUAUUUGACUAAAUUGAAAAAGAACACUCAAGUAUUAGUAUAAGUUGAACAAAUUCCUAUUUGUUUUGAUUUAUUAGAAAAAACUAUGGGCCUGGCUGUAGCUCAAUCGUACUUAGAUUACGGGCCGUUCUAUAAGGCACGGUUGGCAGAGCGUAGGCCCAAUACUUGGUGCUUAUUGCUCUGCCUCUGCUUUGCGAAUUGUUUUUGUGAUCCAAAAUACAUCUUAAUUUCUAAACUUGAGGUGCCGAUAGAUAAGUAAUAUGUGACUACUGAUAUUCGACGUAGAGAAAAGUAGUUAUUGACUUACGAAUAAACGUUAGGAAAACAAAGAGUAAAAUCAAAACAAACAUUAUCAAGAAAUGAAAAGAAAAAGUUUGUAUCAAGUGUGUAUCGUGAGUCACUUUUGUAAUGUAAGUUGGCAACAUAGAUUAACAUUAACAUAGAUGAUUCGUACUAAAUUUUGUAGUACUCGAUAGUCAAACUACAAAAUCUAAAAGUGUUUUUUCUUUGAUUAAAUUUUCUAGAUGAUUGGAAGUAAGUUUUAUUCAAACGAGGCAAGAGCAAUAAUAUUACGAAACAUCGAUUUAGUGUUUGUCAAGUCAGUUUUGCAAAGUUUAUCACUACAAAUUGAGUAAAUAUAAUAGAGUCACGUUUUGAAGGCCAUAUGUUAUAUGAGUUAUUUCAAUUGAAUAUACGAAACAACCAAACUCGUAAAAUUGUAAUUUAUUUACACUUUGUAACGUGGAGGAAAGAAAACCUGGAAAAAAGAAUCUAAUGCCAAGUCAACGAUGAGAUGAAAAAUAAGUCAUAAGUUGUUAGAUACAUCAGGUAAAAGUAUCAUAAUAACUUUACUAUUUUCUCAUGGAGGAAGGAUAAGAUAAAUUCUUCCUAUUUCUAAUAAGUUAGGGUAAGAUUUUAUUUUAUAUUUUAUUGACUCGUGACUUAUUCGAUAACGUUAAAUUUUAUCUCGAACGCAUGCAAAAGUUAUAUAUGGUAUGGGAAUAUUAUUUUUAAAAAAAUGUAUAAAUUAGAACCGUAAAAUUGUAUACAUAAAUAUGAAAAGGGAAAAUAAAUGAUUAAAGAAAUAAGUGAAGUAAAUAUUUGAAGCUAAAAAAAUAUUAAGAUUAAGUUAGAAGGAAAAAAUAUCGGAAGAGGAGAGAGACAUAGAGGGCGCCAGCGGGAUGAUGCUAUAAAUAUAAAUUCCCUACGCCAAAGGCGUGGUCAUUUAUUGAAAGGAAACCCAUCCUCUUUCUUGCCGUCCUCCGCUUUUCUCUUCUUUUAGGGUUUCUCUCUCAAACUCUUAACAAUGGCUGACGAAGCUCAGUAUUCAUCUGCUACUGAUACUCCUUCCAACAAGCGCAAGUACGAUGACCAACCUCCACCCCGCCGUCCAACUGGCUUUUCCGGUCCCAUCACUUCCCCUUCAUCCGAUUCCGCUCCCUCCUACAACAACGUCCCUCCCCCUAUGGAUGAGAUCCAGCUCGCUAAGCAGCGUGCUCAGGAGAUUGCCUCUCGCUUGAUUAUCUCCAGCGGUGGCGUUGGGGCUGGUGCUGGACCUGGCGUUGGAGCAGAUGUCAAACGUCCGAGGGUUGAAAACGGCGGCGGGUAUGACUCCUACGACAAGGGUUUUAGUUCUGGUCCAGGUGAUUAUUGUUUUGAUUUUUUUUAUCUUUGUUUGAAUAUUUCAUGGUCUUGCGUGUUUGUCGAAGGUGUAUUGAUUUUCUCACGACUCAGUGAGCUUAAAGUGAGUCAGGUCUUGUAUAUGGGAAGAAAAUAAGUGGGAACACUCGGAGAAAAUCUUGUGGAGUGCUAGUUAUAUAUUUCUUGUUCACAGGGAGUGGGUUGUGUACAAAAAGGUCCAGUGUUCGUGAUUUUCUAGAAGUGGCGUGCACUUUCUUUUAUUGCAUUUGGAGUAGAGCAUACGUAGGGGGAUGAAAUGAAGGUUUCUGGAUUUCAGUUUAGUGGUUUAGAUAGAGCUCUCUCAGUUAUCAGAAUGCCUAUGUUCCAUGUUCUUUUACCCUCGUUUCCUGUAAUAAUAACUUUAAAAUGUGCUGGUGAUGUAUUACGGUUUAAAAGCAAGAAUUGUGUACAUGUUUGGAUGCUCAUUGGUGAUCUUGAUUUGUGUGGAUGCAGACCUGAAGCCUCACAUGUCAAAUUCAGCCCCUUCAGCGAUACCUAUUUCCUAUGGUUUCCAAGGGUCAAGCAAGAAAAUUGAAAUUCCAAAUGGGAGAGUAGGCGUAAUUAUUGGUAAAGGUGGUGAGACGAUCAAGUACCUUCAGCUCCAGUCUGGGGCAAAAAUACAAGUUACUCGUGACAUGGACGCAGAUCCCAACUCUACUACUCGGAUGGUUGAGCUAAUGGGCACCCCUGAUCAAAUUGCCAAGGCUGAGCAGCUGAUAAAUGAUGUUCUUUCUGAGGUUGGUCUUUUCUUAAUUUUGGAAUUUCAUGGUGUGCCUUUGGGAGCGGCAUCAAUAUAAGUUUGUGGUUUCCUGUUAUAACGUUGACAUGCCAUGUAGCAAUACAUUGGUUUGGAUGGAUAAUGGAUUGACUACAGCCUUACCAAGUUUACAACUUUGAACUUUAUUUAUGGGCAAUAUGUUAUUCAUACGUCCGAUGCAAAAUAUGAUUGUAGUUGAAGAUAAGACUUUUUACUUGGCUUGAAAAUGUGUUUGUCUCAUAAAAUUUAUCAUUUGAAACAGGCUGAAUCUGGCGGUUCUGGCAUAGUAUCACGAAGACUAACAGGCCCUUCAGGAUCUGAGCAGUUUGUUAUGAAAAUUCCUAAUAAUAAGGUUCUCAGAAACAUUUGUUUUGGAAUUACCAAGUAUUGCUUGUCUAUCUUGGGAAUGUAAUUCUGUUCACUUUUUGUACUUCUGAUCGUGAAAAUAUUAAUUUUUCUAGGUUGGCUUGGUUAUUGGUAAAGGUGGUGAAACAAUCAAAAGUAUGCAAGCUAGGACUGGAGCACGUAUCCAGGUCUGUUCUAUCUUUAUGUGUAUAUAUGUAUAUAUUACAUACGUCUUUUAGAAGGCUUCCCAAAGCUAACUUCCGUUCCUUUUUAUUUCAAUAGUGCAACUAAUUUUCACUUUCUUUGGUCAUGUAACAUAGAACAUUGUUUUGAAUUUUGAUUGUAUGGCAAUAUCUACUCUUCUUUUCUGUAGGUGAUACCAUUGCACUUACCCCCUGGGGACACAUCUACAGAAAGAACCUUACAGAUUGAUGGUUCAAGUGAACAGAUUGAGUCAGCAAAACAGUUGGUUAAUGAAGUUAUCAGCGAGGUGCGUUUGCAGAUCUGGGUUACAUAUUUAUUUUGCCUUGUUGUAGUUGGAAUUAAUACCUGGUUAACACCUACUUCCAUUUAUUUUUGUGUUUAUAAUGAUUUUUCCUGCUUGUCUUUGGUUAUUUUUUAUACAACUGUUGAUGCAACUGUUCCAUCUUAUUCUGAAACUCCUUUAGUUCUAUUCUCACAAAAAAAAACUCCAGUUUUAUUAAUUUUAGGGUUCUACCUCAACGCCAAGGUCAGCAUUAAACCAGUGGUGUUGAUUGGACGUUGGCAUAUUUGCUUUCCUUACCUUGUAGUUUACAUUAUGCUGUGAUAUGGGAGGCAUCUGGUAUUCAUUGGCUUAAAUUAUACCUCCAGUUUUAUUUAGAAAAUGAUAUCUGCUUCUUGUUCUUGUUCUUUUUUUUUUUUGGUAUUAUGUUUCUCUUUCAAAUUAUGUUUUCUUACACAGGCUUGUUACCUUGUUUUAUUUGUUAUAAUUUUGUAAAAUCAUUCUACAACAUUAUGCUGCUUUUUAUUUCUGGGAGGAAAUAGUUGAGAAAAAAUUCCCGUUUUUAUGUGGUUCUGUCGGACAACUGACUCAACAAGAAAUUGAUUUAUUUUUUUCCUUCACUAAUGGUACUUCUUGGCUCUUCUUAAUUUUACUCUACUAGUGUAAUGGAUCUUCUACAAUUUCUGGCUUAAACACUAUACAAUAUGCUCAGCAUAUGGUGUUCUUGUUCCUUUAACGAACUAUUAAUCUGCUGCUGUGUCUGCAAAUCUGCAAAAUCAUUUAUUGCUAAUGCUAAUGCACUCAUGCUCUGCUAAUAUGCAUUAGCAUUUUGACUACAGUAGGAAGGCUUGUUCUCUCACUGUGCUCAUACUUUCGUCUUUGAGGGGGGCUCCCUUCGUAGGUCUAUGGAAUCAAAUGCUGCUUUGUGGUUUCACUCAAGGAAUUAGAAACAUUGGAAUAUUUCAGCCUGUUAUACUUUUAGAUCUCUUAUAGAUUGAGACAGCUUUUAGGUCUUUUACCCCUAAUCGAUCUGGAUUUGUUAUUAUAUCUGCAAUUGUUUAUUCUAUAUAUCCACUAAUGCAGAGAUGGAGGACAUAAGGUUCUGGGAUUGGAAAGAGGUGAAAUUAUUUUACAGAUUACUGCUUGGUAAUUUUUUGAAGAGUGAUUAUUGUAUCAGAAAGGUUCCCAUUGGUGAUUUGCUGGCUCCUUUGGAUAUUUCAGUUUAUCAGUCAAAUAUUACUCUUAUUAGGUUGUUUAGGUUAUAUGAUAUCUCUCCUAUUUAAGAUGUUAUCAGCCCAUUUGGUAUUAUUCUUGGUUUUAUAUCUAAGUGUUAUAUUAUUGGGAUUAUGGCCUGUUCAACCGUCACAUGUGCUUAUUAAUUAUGUAUCCUGCAACUGAUAUUGUUAUUGGGAACUAUUGUAGGGUUAGGGUUAUUGGACCAUUAGUGACACCAACAUGGAAUCCUUUAUGUUGGUGUUCUCUCAACGUUGCUCUGGUAUGGUUCUGAAUCCCAUAUUAUAAUGAUAUAAAGUGAUGAUGUGGAGAGAAGUUGCAGGUUUAUCUGUUGGAUAUUCAAGGUCUUUAGUAAAAUUUGAAAAGUCACCUUACCAUUCUAUCAUUCUUUUUCUGGUGGUUUACUUUGAUUUGGGAGAGUUUCAUCUUUUAGUCUAUAAAUUAUUCAUUUCUUAAUUGUCUAUUUACUGUGCGUACCAUUUGUGAAAUUAUUUUAGUUUAAUAUAGGCAUGCGGGUUAAUUUGUUGGAUAACUGUACUAUGAUGUAUUUUUGGUACUAUCAUAUUUUAGUGGCAACAUCACCUGAUCGUUCAGUGAGUCCGCCUUUGAUGGAUAUUCCAGAAAGUCCUUUAGACUCCUGUUUUGGUUUAAUUAGUUAUUAUUAUAUGUUUUCCACCAAAAAGAUGAAUUCUCUAAUUAUUAAUUUUUUUACUUAAAUUGACCUUAACAUUGUUCUUGUAAUUGAAGAAUAUUUUCUUGUUUCAAUCUUUAUGGGCUAUCUUUAGUUACUUUGGAGAUUAUGGAUCGUUUCUUACAAAGGUCUGUAUAUGUCAGUGUCUUCUUUUUCAUCGUCCAAAUUGCUUUUCAGCUUUUUUGGAAGUAUUUUUCUUUACAAUAAUUUGCAAUCAAAAUUCUUUUGACUAUAAAAUAUUUUUCACUUCAUAUUCUAUUGGUGUCUGAAGAUAGUGUAUGGGGUUGUUUAGUUUUAGCUUGAUAUCCAACUAAUUGAUUAUUCUAUAGAAGAUUUAAUAAUUGGGGAAGACAUUGCUUUUGUUGUGCUUUGCUAUGAACUUCUUUGCCUUUUGGGGCAAUUAAGUUCAUAUAUUCUGUUCUGUAAAAGCUUUUGUAGUCGUCUGGUUCUCUUUGCACCCAUUCACUUCGAAUAGGGAGAGGUUGAGCUUCUGCUGGAGUAACUCAAUAACUCAUCAUCCAGUACGGUAUGUUGGUGUUUUAUACUCUUCCUAAUGCAGUAUAAGCUCCUUUAAUCCCUCUACAAAACAUACUGACUAUGGUUUUCUUUUUGCAUAUCCUUGAUUUCAGAUUUGGCAUUUUCUUUCCAUUUCGCAUAAUGCAUAUGAAUGUUGUGCUUUCCUCUUCUUACCAUCCCCUACGUUGGUUUCUUACGUUAAUUGAGAAGGAUUCACCUUUGUUUUCAUUUUUAUGUUUAAUCUCUCAGAAUCGCGCGAGAAAUUCAGGUAUGUCAGGCGGGUAUAAUCAGCAAGGUUAUCAAGCUCGACCCCCUUCAAGUUGGGGUCCUCCUGGGGCUCCACCAAUGCAGCAGCCUAAUUAUGGCUAUGGACAACAAGGCGGAUAUUCUGCUCCUUCGUCUCAGUAUAACAUAUCACAACCUCCUUAUCAGGGUUAUUCCCAACCAGCAUCUGGUGGAUAUGCUUCCAAUUGGGACCAGUCUACUGUUCCGCCAAAUCAACCUGCUACUCAAGGAAGUGGUUAUGAUUACUACGGUCAACAGGCUCCACAGCAACAACAGACAGCUGGAGGCCCUGGUGCUACCGGAGACAACAGUGGUUAUAGUUAUGGUCAACCACCAGCCACUACUUAUAAUCAACAGGGUUAUUCUCAAGAUGGCUAUGGUGGUAAUUACCAUGCACCUCAGUCUGGUUAUGGCCAACCGCCAACAUAUGAUCAACAGGGUUAUAGUUCUACCACAAACUAUGGUAAUGUGGCUAACGCCACUCAAGAUGGGCUCAAUUCGUAUGGCUCUCAAGGGGACUCAUCACAGACGGUCCCUCCUGCUGCACCACAGCCCUCUUCAGUGAGUCAGCAAGGUUAUAGUGCAAAUCAACAGCCUAGCCCUAACCCAGGGAGUUACCCUCCACCAAGUCAGUCGGGGUAUGGAAUGACUGCACCUUCCCAAACUGGCUAUGGAAAUCAACCUGCUGCUCAGGCUGCUUAUGGGGCUGCUUAUGGAGCUCCUCAGACUCAGAAACAACCUCCUACUAAUCCUCCAGCCUAUGGUCAAAGCACUCAGUCACCAAGCACCGCUAGUGGCUAUGGGCAACCUGCUGGAUUGCCAUCUGGAUACUCAAGUACGCAGCCACCCGCAUCCGGGUACACUCAACCAGAUUCUGCUUCUCAACGUGCUCCACCAUCCAGUUACGGCACUGCUGCAGCUCAGCCAGGGUUUGCGCCACCUCCAUAUGGUGGUGCUCCUCCAACAAAUCAGUCAGCUUACGGGCAAGCUCCACCACCUUAUGGUGGCUCUUAUGGUGCUGGUUACCCUCAGCCCCAUUAUUCAUCUGAAGGUAAUGCAGGUGGUGCUACUCGUGGGGGCUAUGAUUCUGCAUCAGCUGCUCAGGCAGCGACCCAAAGUGGGGUUGCAAAAGCAUCACCAAAAAGUUGAUAAUAUUGUAUGUGUUUGCUUAGGUGUGUAUGUUGCGGAGAACGUAGCUUUGUUUUUGUGGUUUUUAUUAGACAGGUAGUUUUAUGAGACCUCAUUAAUGCCCGAAUUCUUUACUGUACUUUGUUUUGCUAUGGUUAAAAACGGUUCUGGAGUUUUGUCUCUCUUGAACAAAACACUCUUUCUCUACAGGCGGUGGCGUCUCCUUGAUGAUUUUGAUUUUUGAUUGUGGCGUUGGGGAUUAAGACUGUUUAGGAUUAUUGUAACUUUAAGCUACGGAAAUGGUAAAAUAGCAUUUAUUAAAUAAAAUGUUAGAUAUGAAAAAUUCUUAUUUCAAAUGUUUAUAUGAACUUAUAGCAAAAUAAUACAAAUACAUCUUUUAACAGAUCUACUUAUUCAAAAAAUUAUUAUAAUACUUUUUUCUAUUAAAAUUUAUGCGUUGUAAAAUAUUGAUGUGUGAUAUAUUGUUAUAGUAAAGCUGAAUCCUUUACUUCCAUGUGUGAUACAUUGUUAUAGUGAAUAUAAAUACAGAAGUACACUUGGAAAAACGGAAAAAUGUGUAUGGCAGGUGAACUUCUAUUUCUUUUCUCAGGUAAAUAUAAGUCUAACCCAAAAAAAUUCGGAUCUCUCCCCGCUGUAUCCUAGAUUCUUGUAUAGUUUAAAAGAAAUUAUUCCUAAAAGCCAUGAAUGCUUUGGGUGAAAGUAACAAGAUGAACGCAAGGACCGAACCAAAUAACAAUUUGAUAGCAUAUAGGAAGGGAUCGUGGUCAUCUGCAUCUGUUGAACUUGUGUGGGGUGCCAAUGCCGUUGCGGAUGGAAGGGCUUCAAUUACUGCAUCAGCCAAAUCUGAAAUGAAUGAAGAAUUGCAAUUGAGGGCAGGCACACGGCCCCAGUUUUGGAUUCCAGAUUCAAGUGCCAAGUGCUUAUACUCCAUAUCUAUCUCCUCGAGAGUCUCAAUGUGCUCACUCACAAAGCUGGGAAGAGACAAGUAAAACUAUUAUAAACAAAACGCCACCAGUGCAUAAGAAUAUCCAACUUCACUUAACACGCUUCACCUUCUCCAAGUCUUUCAAAACAAGUAAAACAAAUUGUAAACACGAUCAAACAGCAUACUGCUUAUAACCAGUUGAUUGUUUUAAAGCAAAAAACAGUUGCCUUUUUUAAUUUUGAAGAAAAACCACGUAAACAGCCAAUCUUUUGUGAUGAAGUUCAAAGUUGAGGAACGACCAAGAAAGCCCAAAAUUAUUCAAAGCACUUUGGGCCUAAGGUUCUCCAUCAUUAACACUAGCACAAGGAGUUCGAAAUAUAUAAUUGUCACGUGAAUUAACUUCAUUAAUAUUCACUCUAAGAUCAUAUGAGAACCAAGAUGAGAAGGAUCCCCUGGAAUUAUGAAGCUACAAGGAACCAAAAACCAAACAAUCAAAUUAACAGUUCGUCCUUUUAUGGUUUAUGAACAAGCCAUACCUCACGGGAACGGCUAGGAGACUCUUAAUACCCUUCUGGCCAAGCUCAACAAGAACUUCAUCUGUGUAUGGCUUAAGCCAUUGUACAGGUCCAACACGGCUCUGAAAAAUGUAAUACAUAACAAGAAUAAAAAACCACACGGAUGUAGUUAGGAAAACAAUGAAAUAAAAUGAUAGAAAAUCUGAAUAGUUGUUGGGGCUCAAAAUGUUAAAGAAAAAGAUAGGAAACCAUGCCAAGCUUCAAAUUUAUUACUAACCUGGUAUGCAAGAGUAUGCUCAUUCCCAAUUCCUCUGGCUUUCAGCUCUUGCAUGAUUAGGCAGAUGCACUCUUCCAUUUGAUCUUUGUAUGGAUCUCCAGCAUUCUCAACAUAACUGACGGGAACCCCAUGUGCACUAAAGAAAAUCAUGACCUAAGGUGCAAAUAAGUGAUGCUAUAUUAAGAACUAAUUGACUUGGACAUCCAUUGCUGCAUAAAAAUAAAGCAUCUCUCUAAAAUAAGUUUCAGCAAAAAUUAAGUACCUCUUGAGGAUUGGCAAAAUUCUUCAGCUCUGCCUGCAUCAAGUCAGCCAUUGACUUAAUAUACCCUUCCCGCUGGUACCAGGACUUUAUAAUUGAAACAGGCAACGAUGAGAGAUAUGCAUCUUCCCUGAUAGACAACUCAUAGUCAAUAAGUUAAGUUGGUAGCAGUAAUUUUUUUAAUAAUAACAAUAAAAUCAAAAUAUUAUAAUACUAGACACGAUCAUCACCUGAACAUCUUCUGGAGAACACGAAUACUAGACCCAGUUGUAGAAAUAGAGUACUGUGGAUACAAUGGCAGCACCACAAGUCUUGUUAUCCCAUCCCUCUUAAUCUGCCACACACAGCAAAAGGAACUACCAAUUUUAAACUUCAUUUCAAACAAUGCUUCAAACAAAAACGUGAGGUUACAGGCAUAUUAGGAAAUCCCGUGGUUGGUAGUAAUAUAAAAUUCUUCCCUCCAUUCGAAUUACAAGGCAAGGGGAAUAGAUAAAACAUAGAGCGUACUUGCUGAAUUGCUUCCUCUGUGAAAGGGUACCAAUAGCGCAUUCCCACAUAGACAUUAGUAGACAUGUUUUUCUCCUCCAAAGCCAUUUUAAGCGCUUGUGCCUGCAACAAGUAUUCACAAAUUAUCAAUAUUGAACAUUUGUUUUAUACCCAACUGGGAUAUGCCAUGAUGAACAAUUUGAAGGAAAUAAGAGAGGUCAAUCAACCUGUUCAUCUGUGAUUUUACGCAAAGGUGAGCCACCUCCUAUUGAAGCAUACCCUUCUUUGCUUUUGGGAGCACGGUAUGUAGAUAUUAAUUUUGCCAAUGGCUCUUGGAGGAAACGGAACAACCUUGGGAGUCGGAUAAUAUCCUAUGCAUCAUGAAAAGAAGUAAGAAAAAAGAGCUAUUGGCAUGUUAAUUUGUUGUUAAGACUAGUUGCAUUAAUUAACUAAGAUACCGGAUCUGCAAAUAGAUUGUACAGAAAUGGUUGGACAUCAUCAAGCGUUUCCGGCCCUCCAAGAUUCAAGAGCAGAACUCCCACCUUGUCAUCCACUGCCUGAGAUUGAGAUUCUAAAGCAAAUUCACCAACGGUGAAAGUUCCUACUGAGCAACAUGCUUGCCCCAGACGGCUUUUCUUCUCAAUGGGGCCAGAAAGAUGUAACCCCUGAAUUACAUCUCUGUCACCAUUGGAGCUAGAACAAGAAACCACUAAUCCUGUAGACCUAUCACGAACUUGCAGAUUUCCAGACGUUUUGCAAGAGAAAGUCACGCGAGAUUUCGGCAAAGAGCAUAACCUGAAAACAGGAAAAUAUACAUUGAAUUCCUAACUUCGACAAUAUAACACCUAAACCCCCCCUUAAAAUAUCAGUCACUGCCAUGACAUCCUCCAUACAAUAAAAUAACUAAGAAACUUCCUUCACAUCAACUCCAGCUACUAGAAUCCACGAUCACAUAACUUCACAUUGAUCGAACUAAAAGGACUGAUUCCAAGUAUACGACACGGGGUAACUUCAUCCAAUAAUCAACAUAGAGUUCAAAUGGGGGCGAAAUUUUAAAAGGGUACAAACGAUAUAAACCAAAAUCCAGAUUCCAAAGCAAGAAGAAAAGGUCGGUUAAGAAUUAACCGAUAAGGAACAUGAAGAAGAAGUGAUAUAAAAGAGAACUUACGAUGAAAUUCUUUGAUCCGAAUUGAGGGUAUUGGUGGAACCGUGAAGCUUGAUAUUGGAGAGGGCGAGAGAGGAAGAGGCGGCGUCCAUGGAGUCGAAAAUUGGAAGAACAACGAUCUAAAUCCAAAACCCGAGAAGAAAUUGAGUACAGAUAUGAGUGAGGAAGAAUGGGAUUGGUCGAUUAUAAAAAUUGGAGAAAUGGGAAACGUGGAAUCGGAAGGAGGAAGAACGGUAGAGAAGUCAAAGUUGGGGGAGGGAAGGAUCCGGGAAAUGGAAGCGCCAACCACUCUCCCAAGUCUCACCAUUAUAUAUUCAAAGUUUGUUUCGUGUUGAAGACUCAACGCAUCUACGUGUGGGCCGUACUCCUAACUUUCUUUAAUUUCUAAUUUUCAUCCAUAUAAUUAUAUAUAAAAAAAGUUAAAAUUUAAUUUCCAUAUUUAAAAGUUAGGAUUAAAAUAGAACAUAUUUAGUCAAAUUAAUAACUCGAGUUCCUCUUAAAUAUGUUCUUCGAUAUUUUUACAAAUCUCAUCUAAGUUCGAUGGUACUUAACUUAUUAAGUAGGAGUAAAAAUUGCUUAUUAAUGCUACAUAUCGCUACUAAAAAUUUAUCGAUAUCUAAAGUAACUAAUAAUUUUUGUUGAUUUGCAAUUUUUAAAAAUAUUGCUCAGCCCUACUUACCUAAAUUUUAAUUUUCUAAAAAAGAAUUAUUCGAUUUUUUUGGUAUUUACACGUGUAUUAUGUAGGUAGUGCAAAAACUUCAACAAAAUUGGUCUAAAUUUGUAUCAAAGAAAUUUAGGCAUUUUUGGUACUCACUACAUAAUACAUUUGUUCUGAGUGGUUGUUUGAUCCUUAUCUAAAUUACGAAAAAAAUAAAAAGAAUAAAUUGAAAUAAUAAAUAAGUUUCCUAAAAUUAACUAAAUUCCUUCUUUUCACCUUUGUAAAAGGUCAAACGUGGAAUGAAAUAUUAUUCAUUAUGAUCCAAAGAAAGAAGUAAAGGUGUCUAGUGAUAUCUUAUAACAUAGAUCACCAUUGAUAGCAAUUGUUUAUAAGAAGAGUCCAACAUCAUUCUUUCCAAAGAAAAUUCUCAUCCUAUGUUGAAAAUAGAUUAUCGUUCUAGAUAUGAAAAAUGAUCUGUCAACAAAGGUAAUCCAUAUUCUAUAUGAAAUUUUAUUUUGUCUUUUACCAGAUGGGUUAAAAGAUUUUUUUUUCUUCAAUAAAUACACAAGCAACCAUUAGAAUUCACAUCAUUUUACCAAGUUGAUUAAAUCUACACUUCAAUCCUUCUAAAUUUUCAUGGGAUGGAAAUUAAACGAGGGGCGGAGGCGAGGGAAUCAUCCCAUCUUGGUCAAAUUCCAAAUAUACCAAACCUAAAAAUGACCAAACUUCAACUUCAUUUGGGAAAAAAGGGGGAAAACAUAUUAUUUCCAAAUAUAGAGAAAACAAAAAUGGCUGAUGAUACUAGAAAUCAUUGAUUAUAGUGUAAAUUUGAUUGGUUGGAGCAUUAAGCAGAUGUGAAACUUGUCUCAACAGUCCGAACACUACUUGGUCAAAUUCCAAAUUUCCAAUCAACAUCAAAGUCCCAUUCUUUCCAAGAAACUAAUGAGAUUCUCCACUUACUAGACAAAAAGAAGGGUAGGAAGGAAAUGCAUGUAAAUGUAACUCAAAAUAGUUAAAAGUGUUAGGAUCCAGUAGAGAUUAUACAGACGAAAUAUUUUAGAGAAAGAAGGAUACUGAGUAUAUCUUCAUUCGACAUUUGAAAAUCCGGCACCACCUUCCGCUCGAGUCCUGUCCAUGGGCACAAGCUUAGUCAUUUAGGGGACUGAUAGGGUACAAAAGAAAGAUGAGAACAAAGAUAAUAAAGAGCAAGAAAGUCAAAGUGAGCUAGCUCGAUGGUAAGUGAAGUGUGCUAGCUCGAUAGUAAUUGAAAUAUACUCAUUUCUCUUUAGGUUAGAGGUUCGAAUUUUCACAACCCCAUAUUUUAUACUAAUGAGCAUACGGAACUUUCAUCGACUUUUUGAAAAAGAUAAACACCGGAACAAGCAAUGGAUAAGAAACUGUUAAUAGCUCAAUCAAGGGGCAUCCUCAAAUAAGUUGAGUAGACGGAUGUGAUCAAAACACAAGGACAAUAAUUUGAAAGAAAAUAAUUAUAAACAAAAAAGAUGGAUAAGGAGAAUGUAUAGCUAUAACGUAUGCAGUGUCUUCUACCGUGGAGAUUGAACUGAGUGAAAGACACUUCAGAUUAAUGCCUUCUUGGAGCCAAAGAACAAGUAAAAUAUUAUCAAUACCAUCCAUCAAUGGAAAUAGCACUUACUUGUGGUCAGAAGGAUUUGGUGUGAUUUCGUAGACAAUUGUUGCAACAACAUCUCUCUUUAGCUGUUGAUUAAAAUGAAGAUAUUUAGUUAUUUAAAUCAACAAAAUCAUCAACUGAUUCUUGCCCACAACUUUACCUGCGUGGCUUCACCUUUCAACCCAAUGUAGUGUAUCUGAGUCGUGUCACCACCAUAAUUAUCAGGAAAAUGCAAAGUGAUGUUUCCCACACCUUGAAAUUUGGAAUAUCUGAUUAUGUAUAUAAAUUAGCUGUCAAAAAAUAGUUGUAAUCUAACAUUGAAAGAAUUCACAGGCUCGAUAAUUAUAAGGGGAAAGAAAAUGCUCAAUUUUUUUGCUAUCAAUUCAAACAUUUUCAGAUGAUCUGAAAGAUAUGUUCCUCUAUAAAACAUCCUUACCUUGUUUGGUACUCUAAUACUCCUUGCAAAUUCUCAGCCAAAUCCCACUCCUAGAAUAAUAAAAAAUGCGUUACAGUUACAACAUAUGGUUAGGCGUCAAAAUUUCUCCAUGAAUCUCCGCCAGACAUGCUAACAGGUAGUACCUGAACAGCUUGCAUACUUUGAGCAUCUGAGAAGUCAAUACCUUCUCGAUUGAUAAACCUGAUUAUGAAGGAUAACUUGCGUAUAAGAACUAACGCAGGGAGAGAACUAGAAGGGAUAAAACUUAAUAUUCACAUAGAAAACCAAGUGUGUGAAAGUUCCAGAACAUCGAACUUACACCCUCAUCUUUGAAGGACUAGUACCAUCUGGACCACCAAUGAUAGAUAUGCUUUUGAUCUUAACAUCUGAUGUAAAUCUAAUCAUAAAAAAAGUGGUAAUGAAUUUUUAAGAAACAGGGAGAGUGCCAGAACACAAAAAGCGCACACCACAUAUAAGCAAUGUAGCCAUCGCUGCAAAACAAAGAUACAGGCACAGAAAUCUUCAUGACAUAAUAUAAAUUUUAUUAUCAGAUAACUAAAAUUGUUCUUGUGAUAUCUGCUUUCGAAGUUUCAGACCAGCCGACAAACACAUAGAUUCUUAGACAAACAGUUUUCUCUUGGUAGGAACACGAAAUUGCGUUUAGGAAGGGUAUGAAUUUACUAGGUGAAAUGGCUGAGCACCUAUGGGAAUUAUUUAGGAAGGCUAGAAGAAUAAAAAAAAAGGGGGGAAGUCGUGAUAAUUUAUGUCUUCACAAAAUUAUUUAUUUCCAUAUUCGCCCUGAGAUAUAUAAAAGGGAUGGUUGAGAAACUAUAAAUUUUAUUACAUUAAAAUGUAAAUUACGAAUAACCAUUACAAUAACUGUACUUAUUAACGAGUACAUAUCAAUGUUAUUAAGGUAUCAGGUAUAGUUAGAAUCCAAAAGUACAGGAACACCUACGGGAUGAAAACUAGCAGUUCAGGAUCACCCUCGUUGCUUUCCAAGUGAUCCUGUUGUAUAAAAACGAAAUAUAUGAGGCUACUUUAUCCUAGCAAUCGGGUACAUGGCACUGAUACACGCAGAUAUAAAGGUAAGGUACCCCAGAUGAGUUUAACCGAUGCUCCCAAGCUUUAAAUACUGACUUCACACUUCCUGGAGUUGCCUCAUUCAAAGCUGAAACCUAAAAAAAUAGCAGAACCUGUGAUCAUAAAUAAAAUUUCCACCAGUUCCUUUGAGGGAAAAAAAAUUAUAAUACGUGUGGGUUCGACAUGCAAUCUACAAUAAGAGUUCAAGGCUCUUCCAUAAAAGUUACUCAUAAGAUUCAAUUGAUUCCGUCCACAAUUAUCAACUUGCAUGAAACAUGCUAUUGACGGAAGGGGCAAUUGUCAUCCUUGUGUGAUUUUAAGAGUAAUGCAUUCAAAGAAUUUCUCCAAUCUUAAAGAUGAAAAAACUCAACAUCAUUAAUACUUCCACAUAUUCACUCAUAAUCUAACCUCUCCGAUUUCUUCUAGCCUUAAAAUAAACAGGAAGAUUUAUCAGUUUCAUCAAUACUUCGCCCACAGUAUUCAUUCCAACGUCAGCAGACAAUUACUUGUGCCUUAAAAGUUAUGGGGAAAAAUCCGUCAGCAUUGCUAACAUCUACUCAUAAUUGUUCCAGUUAUUGAACAACUCCAAUAAGCUUGCAAGACAAGAUGGCAAUGGAAAAUAAUAUAUUUCUAACAAAGUUAUCAAAUCCCCUUAAUAGUAACCAUUGAUGUUCUUGCUAUGCGUGCUAUGUUUAUCUCUCGUAUAACUCAAAUAUGAAUAAAAUAGUGGAAAUAUUAGCACAAUCCUCUUCCAAUUUCUUCCCAAAUGGCUAGGCUGUAAACCCAACUUGGAAAAAGGUAAUGUAAUUAAGAUGUAACAAAAAACAACAAAAGAAGAGAACCAGAGAUGGAAACAAGAGAACAAUAUUGCACGGACGAUCAGCUACAGUUGAGUUUUGUGUUCAUUUGAAGUGAAAACUAAAAAAAUUAACCACUAAUGCACUAGCUUCUAUCACUAACCAUGAAAUUCUCCAACAUCAUUCCCACUAAGCCAUUAGGCCAGUUCCCUCCAAUUUAGGAGGCACUACCUAAAUUAAACCCAUCAACAUAAAUUAAAACUAAUUACAAAUUAAGUUGCACUAAUUCUUAACCUAAGAAAAACCCAAUUUGCAUGUGAGGAACCAUAACCAACGGCAGGAACAAAGAUUCAGCUCAUUCAUGAGAUCAUGGGCAAUUGCAAUUCACAUAAUAUUUUCCAAGCAGUGUAAUUGGGAAGGAAACUAAAAAAUUAUCAUUCAGCUAAUGGGUAUGGAGAUAAUUAAAAUCCAAAGCCUGGACAAUCAAAUUUCAUAUUGAACGAUGGAAAAUGAUUAUACGAAUAUGUUUGAAGUGAUACGAAGUCGUAAAACGGAUUGUCAAAGAAGAAAAUUCGUGUGCUAGAGGUAGAUACAGAUAUGCACUAACUCUGGGGAGGUCUAUGUGCUUGUAAAGAGACCAAUCAGAAGAACAAUCGUGAUCUUCGCAGCUGUGAUCGUGUAAGCAAGCCAUCUUUGAGGUUCCAGAACAAUAGGCAGAACGAAGAGAGAUUUCAGAGGUAAAAGAGAAAGUGCGAGAUGCUCAAAACGGCGCCGCUUCUGUACGUGAAGGAUUGUUUUCGCUUUGAUAUAAAGCCAUUACAAGAAAACAUCAAUUACAUUUUGUUUGUUUUUUAAUAGCCGUGACUAAAAUAAAUCAAGAGAUUAUAAUAAAUGAAAUUAUCAAGAUCAAGAUGAUAUUUUCUAAUGGAACAAAAAAAGAAAGAAAAAACGAAAAGUUGUAUCCUUAAUUAUACUAAAAAGGAAUAAUAAUAAUCCAUCAACACGUUAUUUGGUAGCCUUCAACAUAAUUAGUGUUUGCAUUCAAAAUGUGGAAUAGAAAUAGGAUCAUGAAACGUCGAAACAAUGAAAAAUUAGAGUUGAGGAUCAUGAAACGUCGAAACGAUGAAAAAUUAGAGUUGAGUUGAGAACCGUGGAAAUGAAAUCAGUUUUAGUAUUACAAAUUCAAUCCAAAACCAAAACAUCCAAUCCAAACUCAUUCCACGACGAGUCUCCAAACCACUGUAAUCGUAUAGGAUGUGUGUUAAAGGAACAAAUUUAGGGUUACUUUGUUUAUAUAUUUUUUUGAAAAAAAAUACUAUUUACAAAUAGAUUAUUACAAAGAUCAACUUGGAUGAGCACCUUCAAUGAACAACUUUGAGAAUUAUUUUAGUAACCAACUUCAAAAAACGACAUACGAUGCCGAAUUUUGACAAUGACCUUUUAUGAUAAUCAAUUUUGAUGGUUACUUCAUGCCACUAACCCUAGUGAAAAGUAUUUUUAUACUCUCCAAUACAAACAAUUACAAUUCAUACUAUUUUAAUUAAUCUACACUCUAAAUAUACAUUUCAUAACAUAGAUUCUAUUUCACAUAUUACAAUAACCAACUCGAAGUCACAAAGAAUCUCGUCUACAAAUCAAUCUCGAGUAGAUAUGAUUUUCCUUUUCUUCUCCGUCGUGUGAACACUAUGUGCCCCAAACAACCCUACUAUGUUGGAUUUCUUAAUUAACAAGGGAACUCAUUUUUGUCCCAUGUGUUCAAUGACGGACGUUAAAUGUACUUUUCAUUUAAACUAAGCAAAGGGAGAGAGAGGAAAAAAAGUUAAGGCUUCACCAAAAAAAUUUAAUUAUUGUUUAGAUGAUUUGAUCAUCAACUUAAUUGACUAAUAAUUUGUAACAAAUAUAUUGCUUAUUUAAAGCUUGAUUUCAAAAUUACUCAAUAAACAAACAGUACAAUCAAUCACAAAAAUUCAACCCUAAAAUGCAUCAAUCGUACAAAGUUUAGUAAUAAACAUUAAUUGAUAGAAAGUAUUCUAUUAUGAUAGUUUUGAGGCACAUAUUUUAGGUUGGAAGAAGCACAAUUCAUAGAUAUAUAAUAACUUUAAAUUGGUCCAUACAAUAUUUUAAUUAAGUGAUAUUGUUUUAGUUAAAUUAAAUUUCAAUCCGUGUAUGAAUUUACUUGAUCUCGAACUUAAAAAAUCUUUUUUGAAAUGUUUACUUGACAUUUCAAUUUGUAUUCAACAAUCUUUAGUUAAUUUAAUUGAUGUUUUUAAACGUUAGAGACUUAUAAUACACAAUAUUAAAAAUUUAUUAGACACAAGUUUUAAUUUUAUAUCUUAAUUGUUCAAUUAACGGUUAAAAGUUACUAUAUGUUAUAAAUUAAUGAACCUAUUAAACACAAAUUUUAAAAUCUUUAUAAAACGGAAUCUCUAUUUCUAAUACAAAAAUAGUUAUGGAUCAUGACAAUAUGUUUGCUACUAAGUAUGCUUAAAAAAUAAUAAGAACAUAUUAACUAACUAGUUAAAAACCAACACUAUUUUUAUAAGUUGUAGGUUGAAAAUUUAAUUCCUACCUUUACUAAAAAAAAUUAGAGUAUUGUUGAGAUGAAAAAAAAAAAAAAAAACCAUAUGCAUAUGGUAAAUUAAAAAGAUAUUUAUUGAUUGAAUUAUGGUAUAUAUCUGAUCUUAUAAGUAAAGUAUAUGAGAAUGGACAUAUUAUAUCAUAAUUUAUCCGUUCUAACUAGAAGACAAUUCAAGUACUUUGGUCAAAGACUCAAAGGUUAAUUAUGAAUGGAUUAUUUAUUAUAUAACUUAUCAUCCACAAAUUAUUUCACUUUUAAUGCAAUAUCCCUUUCUAUGAUAUUUUCUAAAGAAAAAAAGCAAUCACAUUCUCUGCCCUCUUUUAUCUUCUCUUUCUUUCUAAUAAUUAUCUGAUUCGUAUAACUAAAAGUUUAUUUUUCAUUCUAUUUAUAAGUUUUGCGAGUGCACGUUUGAGUUAAUAAAUUAAUCUUGAAAAGCAAUUGACAUGUACGAUUUAGUAUCGACGUCGAACUAAAUUUUACUUUCAAAACAGUGGUUCGAAACGAUACAACAUGAUCAACAAUUAUUUUGUCUACUACUACUAUAUUGUUUCAUUUUACUAGAAUUAUAAAAUAUAGCUAAAGUUAACAUUUAUUAAUUAGUUCUUAAUUUAAAUUUAUUUAUACUUUAUUAUUUAAAUAUACUUGCGUAAGAUUAUAUACCGUCACUGUAGGCAACGUAAUGAAAAACAUUUUGGUUAAUAUUUGAAUAUAGAUCUAUUCAAGAGCUUUCUCUUAAUGUAAGUGAUGAAUUUCUCUUGUUUAACCACGAACAUGAUUUUAACUAUUUUUUUUAAAAGGUCGGUCUUCCGUCUUUAAAUAAAACCAAUUUAAAAAUCACCUCCAUUCUUUAUUUGGAGAGUUUAUGAUUGAUCUCUUCCCAAACCACUGAUUAGGGUAAAUUUUAGAAAUAUAUUUUAAUAUCAUAACAAAUAUUAAUUAAGCCAAUAAUAAAGAUUUGAUUGAUAACAGUUUUACUAAAGUUGAAGAAACUAAAAAAGAAUGAAAAUGAUAUUUUAGUAUUAAAAAGGAUUGAAGAAAAAAGAUGAGAAAUGGACGGAUAAUAAGAUUCCACACCCAACCGCGAAGGAAUCUCGCCUAAUAUUGAUAUUUGCUAUUUAGUGGGUCAUAGCUUUCCCUAUCAACUUCAACUUGCAAUGUAUUAAAGUUGAAAAAAUGACCGCAACUAUUAUCAUUACACGUGUAAGGUCAGGAUUCAUCACCAGGGGCAACUAAGUCUUUUACAAAAACCCGCAAGAAAAUUUCCAAUUUUCUUUUUUAUAUAUAUUAAGUGAAUUUGUAAUCAUCGUUCUAUACCCACCGUGUAGCCCAAGUUUCCCGGCAACUUCAUGGCUCGAAUCCCCACCGGAGUUUUACUCUCUCUUCUAUUCCUUGCCGUAAUCGGUCUACCUGCCGGAGCCCGGGACCUUCCCGGUGAUUUUCUCCGGUUGCCGUCCGAGGCACUGAAAUUUUUUCGCGGAGGAGCUUCCGACGCUAGCGACGAAGACUCCGUGGGGACGAGAUGGGCUGUUUUGAUCGCUGGUUCUAAUGGAUACUGGAAUUACAGGCAUCAGGUUUUUUUUUCUACGAUUGAUAAGUUGCACUGACUUUAAUUCAUUUGAUAAGUUUGUGUUGUGUUAUGAUGUUGACCUUUGUGAUUGAUUGGCGUUUUCGUGUUCGUAUUUCAUACUUUUUACCCAAAAUGUCUGUUGUGCAUUAUAUCUGUUGCUGAUACUUGUCUGAUCCAUUUUCUCACUGCUUUUUAUUUUUAACCUAAACUUUAUCAUCGGUGAUUCUUCUUGGCGUGAGAUCGAUUUUUUUUUUUUUUUCCAGUUAAACUAAGUCUGCAUUCUUUUGAUCUUUACUCUUCGUCGUCUGCUUUUUUGAUCGAUUGACUUUUUUCUGUUUUUCGAUUAAGAAAUUGUAGUAGUUCUGUUCUUAUCCGUUUCAUUUUUUUCAAUACAUAUGUUCUUAGUUUAUUUUAAAAGAAAAAAAAUAAUUAAGCCUUCAAAUUAAUUAAAUAUUUGUUGCUGUUAAUAAUUCUUAAAAAUUGAGCUGAAAUUCUCGAAGAACAUGGUUUUUUCAACGCCCUUCCAUUUGUCGUUGCUACCAUGUGAUCGAUAUAACUUUUCGAUUUUGCUCCAAAAUAACCACGUUACCUGUAGCUACUCUCAAACAAAGUUUCCUUGUUUAUAAUUGUCAUGUUGAACGAGUAACUGAGCGUUUAAGGCCUAACUGCAAAAGUUUAUUUGAAGGCACUUUUGAAAAGUUUUAUUUCUUGUGUUUGUAGUGACUUUUUUUUUAUUUUAACAAGUAACAGUUAUUUUCAGUGCUCUAUUUGGGUUGCAAAAUCUCAACUCCAUACUAGCCAUAGUUUAAAUUUCUUGGUACUAAACUGGAGUAAUCUUUUAUACUUCCUAUGUAUAAUAUAUAUGUAUAUAUAUAUUCAUGAAUAUCUGGGCUAGCUGAGGCACACAUGAGCAUUUGGGUGUCAAGGAAACAGGCAGGAUAUUAAAUUCUACGUAGGUGGUCACCAUGAAUUGAAUCCAUAACCUCUCAACCAUUUUUCAAGGUCAAUAUAACCAUUUAUUAUCUUAAUAAAAAAGAGUUUGUGACUCCUCUAUGGAAAGUAAAAAAGAGCUAUAAACACAACCAGUAAUUAAAGUUACAAAUCAAAGGAGAGAAUGGAGAUAUAAUUAAGAAUUAAUAUAAAUUUGUUGAACAAGCGUAAGUCAACAGAGUCUAGGUGCUACUAUUCUGCUCUCAACCUUGUUUUAUUAUGUGAGUGUCGUAGAUGGUUUAAUUGAUUAAAAAGGCUUAGAGAAUGCUGAACUCAUUUUCCACCAGGCUGAUAUCUGCCAUGCUUAUCAAUUGUUGCGGAAAAAUGGGCUAAAAGAUGAGAACAUCAUAGUCUUCAUGUACGAUGACAUUGCCUUCAAUCCAGAGAACCCAAGACCUGGUGUCAUCAUCAACCAUCCAAAGGGUUCUGAUGUUUAUCAUGGAGUCCCGAAGGUUUUCUUUUUCUCGUUGCCCUAUCGAUUCUAAUUUUACGCCUGAUUCAUCUGAUGGUAGCUACUUAUGCACUCUACGUUUUGGCCAUGGCAGGAUUACACUGGUGAAGAUGUUACCGUGAACAACUUUUUUGCUGCCAUUCUUGGAAACAAAACUGCUCUUACAGGGGGUAGUGGGAAGGUUGUUGACAGUGGCCCUAAUGAUCAUAUUUUCAUAUACUACAGUGAUCAUGGUGGUCCUGGUGUGCUUGGUGAGUGGCUUGUUCUGUGUAGUUCGCAUACUAUUUGAGGUGACCUAUCAUGCUUAUCUGGCACCAUCUCUUUGGAUAUGUUUGUUGCUCGAUGUGCUUGAUUUAUAUCUGUAAACAAUAGCACGAUUAGUUUACAUUUCCAUAUUAUCUUUUAAAGGCAGCCAACCAACCAAAAUUCAAUCUUAAAAAGCGUGCUUUGAUUUGAAACUGAUAGUACAGCCUCAUUUACCUAGGAAACACUUAUUGGUAUCAUUAUUGUAAAAACAUUAAUCGAAGAUAAACUUGUGUUAGAUUUCUCUAACUAGUUUGUUACUUGAUGGAUAAGAAAUUUCUCAUCUCUGAUAUAUCUUGUUCAGGGAUGCCUACCUAUCCUUAUAUGUAUGCUGACGAUCUUAACAAAGUUCUAAAGAAGAAGCAUGCUGCUGGAUCCUACAAAAGUUUGGUAUAUUAUUGUACUGUUCAUUGCUUGAGACUGCAUCUGUCCUUAUAAUGUAACCAUAUAUAAUGAGAGUGGAACUGUUUGUAAUAUUUUAGGUAUUCUAUCUCGAAGCUUGUGAAUCAGGAAGUAUCUUUGAAGGUCUUCUUCCUGAAGGUUUGAACAUUUAUACAACGACUGCAUCAAAUGCUUAUGAAAGCAGUUGGGGUACUUAUUGUCCAGGGGAUUAUCCUAGUCCUCCACCAGAGUAUGAUACUUGCUUGGGUGACUUGUACAGUGUUGCUUGGUUGGAAGACAGGUAAAAAGAUAAUAGUAGGCUUGUUCUAUUGUUUUUAUACUUUGUUAUUUUGUUAUUUUGUUGUUUUUGUUUUUGUUUUUUGCUUGGUGUUUUAAUUUAUCAGUAAAAGAAAAUGAUAUCAAUGCCGAAAUCCAAAAGGUAAUGUUUUUUGAUGUUGUGCAACUUUGAUUUUGGGCAUUUGUUCUGAUUUCCAUGUUCUCAUCGUUAUAUGUACUGCCGCACCAUACUUCUGGUGUCUAGUGUUCUGUCAAGCCGAAGAAUGAGUCUCACAAAAUUAUUAGAUCCAAAAGCAGAUUAUUACCUUUUAAAUAAGGGAUCCAAACGCAAAUGACGUGAGUUAAAAUAAUGAGGAAGUGGUUUAUUUUAUUCAGAACCUCAAGAUUUUUACUUUCGUGCUGUAACAGUGAUAAUCACAAUUUGAAGACAGAAAGUUUACGCCAGCAAUACGAACUGGUAAGAAUACGUGGACCUCCGUUUUAGGAGAAAUCAACUUCCCAAGUUUAAAUUUGGUUCUUAAAAAUGAAAAAUUUUCUACCAGAUUUUUUCAUCCUUUUGUAAUUGUACUAAAUGUACCAAGUCUAAAGGACAUUUUAGUGUGUUUAUCAAAAUGAAAAAAAAUCCCAUUAUGCUCGUUUGAUCUGAUUUGAACUGUUGGUUUCUUCAGGUGAAAAAAAGGACGCUAAGUGGCCAAUAUGCCUAUGGUUCCCAUGUCAUGCAAUACGGUGAUCUAAUGCUCAACAAGAACGCUUUGUUCUCAUAUCUGGGUACUGAUCCUGCUAAUGAGAACAACACUUUUGUCGAGGAAAACUCCUUGAGGCCAGCUACAAAGUUCACCAAUCAGCGUGACGCUGAUCUGGUCCACUUUUGGGAGAAGGUUAGUUUCUUCUUUUUCUAUUUUCAAAUGGAUAAUAUAUGAACCCUGCUUGGUAUACUAGUAUAUAGUAAAUAAGUGAUAUUUUGAGGUUCGCCAAAUUGAUAAUAUUUCCUGUUUUAGAUAGUGAGAACAAAGCAUUCUUGUGCGUUAGAUCCAAUUUUUGAGACUUUUGUGGCAAUUUUUUAAAUACUACACUUGUCACCUCUCUAAUGUAGGGAUUGUAGUAUUUACUUGUUAAUCUUGGGUUUUUUCUUGCUUAAAAUUAAUUUUGGUUUCGACAUCAUUCAAGACCCUCUCACCCCAUCCGUGCUUGUUGAUCUUAGUUUCGCAAAGCUCCAGAAGGCUCCCUGACGAAAGUCGAAGCUCAGAAGAAGUUCGUGGAAGCAAUGUCCCAUAGAGCUCAUAUCGAUAACAGUGUGAAGCUAGUUGGAAAGCUGUUGUUUGGAAUUAAAGAAGGUCCUGAGGUGCUUGAAGCCAUCCGUCCCGCAGGAAGACCCCUUGUUGAUGACUGGAACUGUCUUAGGAAUAUGGUAUAAUUUCAAUAUAAUUGGAUACUGCACAGCCCAUUUCAGUCAACCAGUCAAAUGAUGUUUAGUUAUAUUUUUACUCAGUAUAAAAGUUAGUUAAUUCUGAAAUGAUUCAAUACAAACAGGUUAGGAGCUUUGAGGCACGUUGUGGAUCUCUGUCUCAGUACGGAAUGAAACACAUGAGAUCCUUUGCAAACCUAUGCAAUGCUGGAAUCAGCAAGGAGCAGAUGGCGGAGGCAUCGGCGCAAGCUUGCAUGAGUGUCCCUCCGGGCCCUUGGAGCUCUCUACUCAAGGGCUUCACUGCAUGAUGACGAAACCCAAGUCAGUCAUCGGAUUUGGAAGUACGUUUCUCCCACCAUUGUUUAUAUCACAUCUAUGUUCAAAUGGGUCUGUCGACGACAAGUCAUUUGUAAAUAGAACCACAGGCCAUUGUGUUAGGUGAGAAAAAAGGGGCAUAUAAUUGAAAUGUUGAACUGAAGAAAUACGCAUCUGUUUAUAAGAAGAAGGCUCUGGUUGUGUUGGCAAGAACGAUCAAAAUUCCAAAUGUAUUGAUUGUAUGUAGUAGAAUUAUGGUGUGCUUUUUACAUUGAAUGACAAUAUAUUUUCACAUGAAUACAAAAUUCCAACCUCCAAAAGAAGAAAAGUGAGAAAACAAAAAUGCAUGAUUGAAAUAUUGGUGAGAAAAGGCAUAAGAGGUGGGCUAUACUUAUAGAUGGGAUAUGGGUGAGAAGGGUAGGCUCCACUCCUUUCCUCCUUCACUUGUUUAAACUUUCGUCAAUUUUAAAAGUAGAAUGGGGAGUUUGUGGGUUGUGGUAGUUGAAAAUGGUUAGAUGUUUUGGUAUAGAAUUUAGUGGGGGAAGAGAUAAAUCCACAUAUUGGGAUUAUUGGGAUACUGUUUGUGUGUGUGUGUGUGUGUGUGUGCCCCCAUUCUCCACCUCCCUGGAUCCACAUUCUUCUAUUAUUCCCACUUUUGCACGCUUUGUUUCUUUCCUUUUAUUAUUUUAAUACCAUCUAAUUUCAUGUUCUUUAACUUUAUUGUUUUAAUACCAUCAAUUUAUAUUGUAAAAAAAAAAAAAAAAAGAGUUCCUUUUGCAUCUUAUCUGAAUGUGAAUGUUGGUUUCUAUACUAUAUUUGUAAUUUUUUUAAGAUAUAAUGAAAAUAUGAUUCACUCUUUCAUCAUCUUAAUAUUGAGUUUAGUUAGAUAGAAUAUGUAACAUUUGUCAUCUUAGUAAUUCUUUUAAUCGUGGCUUUAAAUUUACUUUAUUAUUUUCUCGUUGUUUAGUAAAGGGAUGGAAUAUCAAUUAUUGAAACUCGAUUUGGUUGUUUUGUUUAAACCCCAAAUUAUGAAUCAGAAUUGGUUCCAUACAUAAUUCUCAAAAUCUCAUAAUUCUCCAAGAAAAUAAAGAUUUCAAAUGUAGUUUCUGGUCUAUAGAACUUUAAGUUUUUUUACUUUUAGGCUUCAAUAAUUUUUUUGUUUGUUAAAAUAGUAUUCUUUCAAUUUUUUAUUAUAUAUAUAUAUAGUUCCUAGUUGAAAGGAAAAGUUGAUUAAGAGGUAUAUGUGAUGAUUUAAUAAUUUAUUCGAAUGAUUGUGUUUGAAGAAAUUAAACUAGUUGCCAACUAUAUGAAUCAAAUGAUUUUGAAUUCAAAGGUAAUAGUUAGGGAAUUGGAUAUUUUUUUUUUUCUAGUGGAGCAUCUAAUGAUACCUUUUUCAAUAUCAUUAUUACGGAGAUGAAAAUAAAAAAUUGACUCUUGAAUUAGAAUUAUGUCAAUUACUAACAAGCUAAAUUCACCUUUUCAUUAAGAGUCAACGAGACGAAAACUAAUAUGGAUACAUACUUUUGUUUAAAUUCAACGAGUAUGAUUUGAUUAUUUUGUUUCUUUUAAAAUGAGUAUGAUCUUAAUAUUACAAAAUACAAAUGGAUGGACAAAAGUUUCUUAUUAAAAAAUCAACCCCACUACUGAACAAAGGCACCAAAAGAAAAAGAAAAAAAAAAGAAGAAAAUCUUCUUCAUAUGCUCUCUCAUUUGGAAAAACGAAAAGGAACAAAAGUCUUUUUAUCUUUUUCUUUUUUUCCUUCUUAAAAAGUAGAUAAAACUUCAAAUAUGGAAAAGGUAAAUUCACAUAAUGACUAAAAGCAUUUUUAUUUCAUAACCUUUAUUUAUACAUAAAUACGCAUGUGCCUUUAUUGGUAAUCUUUCUUUGUUUUUGUUUUUUAAUUGGUUUUUAAAAACUAAAGUGUAUUUGGUAACUAAUUCACUUUUUAUUUUUAUUUUUUAAAAAAAAACUUUUUUUAAAAUUAUAAAGAAAAAUUGAAAAUGAAAGGACAUCUUUAAAAUAACAACAUUAUCAAAUAUAUAUGGUUUUUAUCUUUAUAAAAAAUUAGAAAAUAGAAAAAUGAAAACAAAAAUAAAAAUUGAAAUGGUUAACUAAACCUGUUCUAGAAGUUUAAAAAUAUAAUGAUAAUUAUAAAUAUGUUUGGAGAUUUUUAAAAGAAGAAGAAGAAAAUUGACGAAUUAUUUACGUAAUCCACUAAAAGUCAAAAUUUAUACACUUAUUUCUCUACUAAUGAUAAAUAUUCUAUUUGUAUGGUUUUUCCCUUUUUUCUUUUUUUGGUAGAGUGGGGGCUCGAAAAUGAAGUUUAAAUAAAGUUAUGUGAUGAACUAACAAUAGGCUAAAAAGAUAAAAUCUUAUUAAAUUUACAUAAUGUUUUUUAAAAAAACGAACUCAUUUAUUAAAUUUGAGGGUACAAUGGUGAGUUUGAUGUGAUUUUUUAGAAGUUAGGGAAGGAGUGGAAAGUGAAAAUAAAUAUAAGCUUAUAAUUAUUAAUAAACAUGAGAAAAGUGCUUUGCAUUAUUAGGAAGUUUACAACAAACUCUAAUUUUUAAUUUAACUUGUUUGUUUCUAAUUAAUAUAAUAUCAACUUGUCAAUAUUUGAACUUUUAUAUAACAUUUCAGUCCUUACAUAUUCUUUUAUAACUUUUAUAUUCUCCAUUUAAAUCCUUUGACUAAUUAAAACUUUUAUUAUGUAUAAGGAAAAUUUUAAAAAAUAAAAUUUAUAAUUAUUAAGUAAGCAAGUGAAUGGUACGAAACAUGUAAGCCUCAAAGUUAUUAUUUCAAUUUUAUUUUAUCAUCUUUUAAAACACGUUCGAUGUUGAUGAUCUAAGCUUUUUACAGUUCUUGGUAUAUGAUUGCAUGUGUAAAGAGUUUAAACCUCGAGUAGGGAAGUAGUUAUACUUUCCUUGAGGUCUUCAAUCAUGACAAGAUUUUUAAUUUUUAAAUUUUUAGAAUUAAAGUUUUCAUAUAUAUAAAAUAAAUUUAUUAAGUAAUUUUGUAUGAUUGACUCAAACGAAUGGUGUCUCGUUUAUAUAAUAUUAGGAUUUGUGGUAAAUAAUUUAUGGGAUGGUUUUGGAGAUGAAAAAAAAGUAAAAGAAUAUGAAGAAAUAUAGAGUUGCAUUUAAUGAUUGUAUUGUGGUGUUUUGAAACAUCACGACUCUCUUCCACAAAACGUUUUCUAAAAUCACAAUGGAUAAAGUCAAAUUGUUGGUGAAGAAUCCUUUGUUUUUUCCAUUAAUAAUUGUAUCUAUCAAAUUUAAACUUUAUCCAUUUUUAUAUUUUACAAAAAUCUACCUACCAAUCAUAAAUAAAAUUAAUUUACAUAUUAAUCAUAAUUAACUAAAAAAUGCAAUAAUACAUUAGAACACUACCACUACAGGUUUUAACUAUGCCAAAUUAGUUUUAAAACUUUGAAAUAUAUGUAUAUACAUUAUAUGGUAAAGUAUUGAGGUAGAUUUGUUAGAAUAUUAAUAAAAUAAAGUAUCUAAGUUGAAAAGAAGGUGAAGGGGAGGAAGACAUGCAAGGUGAUUGGAUUACAAACUAAUUACAAACUAGAUUUGAGAAGAAUAGUUUGAAUUUUGGGUAGUAGAAAAGGGAGAAGGUAAGAAUGAAUGGUAGAAAUAAAUAUUUGGUUAAAGGAAACCCUAAUAUAAAUGUUUAUAAAAGAAUGAAUUGAAGGGGUCAUUGAUUGCAGUGAAAUGAAAGUAUUGAAAGUUCAAUAAUUUGGAGAGCCCCAUGGGACGUAUAAUCGGUUUGGGUAUUGACCGGAUACGACAUUACGAAAGCACUUUUAUUCAAAUGCUUUAACCAUGGUUAAUACUCCAAACUAACCAUAGUUAAGUACCCUUCCCGGUUCUAUCUAACCUCUAACCUCUAACCUCUAACCUCUAAGCUCCAAAGCUCUAAAGCUCCAUCACAUCGGCGGUUCCACACGAAAACAAAACUUAAAUAAUAAUAUAAAAGAAUAUUUUAUUUUAUUUUUGUUAGGAGAAUGAACGGACGUUAAAGAUUCCGUCAAAUUGGUUAACGCGGGGGGAUAAACGUAACGGUCGAUUGGAGAAGAGAGGAAGGAGCGGGACUCUCAGUGGACGGAAAAGCAGAUGAUGAAGCAGAGCCGGACGAUGGUUUGAUGGACGGUCAUAGAUGGAUAUUGCUGAACGGUUUAAGCGAUGUGGGACUUGGAAGAGCGUAUAAAAAUAGAGAGUUGAAAGGGUGAGAGGCCAUUUCGUUGUAUCAUUGAGGAAGGACCUCUCUGUACUACUUCUCUUUAAACUUCCCUUCUAACUCUUUCUCUCUCUCUCUCUUUCUCUUUCUCUUUCUCUUCUACAUAUUUAUAUUUCUUUCUCUUGAUGUCUCUGUAAUUAUUUCCUUCAUUUGAAGCUUUCAAAACCACCCAACAGCUUAAAAUUUUGAUAGUAUUACUGGGUUAAUCGAUCUAAGAUGGCUCGGGUCAUUGACGACUUUUAAGGCAUUGAAAUUGUUGUAAGAGAUGAGAUAAUCGACGGGGGGGAAUUUGAAUCUGGGGUCUGUUUUCUUGGCUGAUUCUGUAAUUGAUUUUUUUUUUUUUAAUAAAUUCGGAGUUGAAUUUUUGGAGAAGAGACUUUGAGUUUUGAAGGUUUGAUAAUUGAAAUCAAUUCACUGUUUAAGGUCUUUGUUGUUCUGGGUUUAGAUCUUAUCUUCUGAAAUUAGUUUCUAACUCUUGAAAUUUUCGUUGUGCAGAUAAAUACAGAGCGAUUUUAGUUGUUCGUUUGAGGGGUUUCUAAGAGAUUUGUUACCUUUUUUGAAAGUGGAAGAAGAAUUGGACUGAGAAAAAUGCAAGCGAUUAUCGGACUCUGGGAUUCGGAUUUACAUUUCGCUUGUUUUCUGCGGUGAAAUAAGCAGAUUUCUGUUCUUUGGAAGAGCUGAUUCUUGGGGGGGAGGGGGGCAAACCCAGAUCAGAAAUUUCAGGUACUGAUUGGUUAUCUUCUUGGUGUAUUUUGUAGGCUCUGUUCUUUCUGUUCUAAUUAUUUUCGUCCGAAAUUUCAGGUCUGAUUUUCUUCCUGUUCAUUGCUACCUUCAGCAUCCAAUAGCUAUCGCUUCCUCCUCUGUUCGAAUUCUUAGGGUCUGAUAAUAUGCUUUCAGAAUUUAAAAAUUCGAGUUGCUUCUUCCAUGGAAGGAUCUUCUAUCUCUCUGUGAGCCAUUGGGAAAUCUGGAUCCCCUGUUUCCAUGUGAAAUUCUUCUUGUUUCUUUGAGUUCCUCACAUUUUCAAGAUUUUCCCUCAAAUUUCCUCUUAAUUUCAGACCCAGCGUCUUCCCAAUACUUUUCUUCAGAAACCCAGACCAGUUCGGCUUUUCAAAUUUCGUGAAUUCCGUCUUCGGAUCAUCGAGAAAACCCCAUGUUCUGGUCUCUGACUGUUUGAUGUUCUCCUCGAGUAAAGUUUUUACAGUGUUGAUGGCGAAAACGUCAUAUUUCAGUGCUUGAAAUUUCUAAUCACCUUUGCUCUGUCCAUUUUUCUUCGUAACUUCGGGAUUUUCAUCCGAAUCCAAUUGACUGCAGAACCUGCUUUUUAUCCAUUUCCCCUUUCGUUUCUCUUUGCUACUUUAAUUGUAGAAUCUUCUGAGUAAUCUUUCUUCAGACUAACCCCCUUUUGAAAUGGGACAGGUAGUGUAUAUAUAAUUAAGCAUAUGGAGAAAGAAAAUCUCAGAAUCAAUAGCCAUGGCAAUUUCGUUAGUAAUAAUCUCAACGGGAGGGAUAGAACCAGCGUGGACAGCUCGCUGUUGUUGCGAGCGAGAUCCGAAGCCGCCGUUGUCGCCGUCGCAACGAGACCGCAGCCAACGCCGUCGGAAUUUGUGUUACAAUGGGGAAACCGGAAGCGUCUCCGGUGUAUGAAAGUUCCGGUUAAGGCCAAGGAUGUUUCCGCCGCAGCACCGGCUCACAGAACCACCGUCCGAGUGGACCGGCGAGUCGUUAGAGCCGAUAAAGACUCGAUUAUACAUAACCACCAACCAACUUCUAAUCAUAACCUUAAUCCGAGUAAUGGGUAUUUGAAUCUCCGUCAACGGCCGAUUUCUCCUCAACCGCCAGUUCUACCGCCGCCGCCAGCUCCAUCUCAGCGUAUUCUAAGGUACUCUCUGUUUCUCUCUCUUUUCUUCAACGCCAAUCUUUCGUAAUUUCUUUUUUAAUCUCUUUGAUCGUUCAAAUCUCAUCCGAUAUUUGAGAUUCCUUUUUCCCGGCUAUGGGAUUCAAAAUCCCGAUGUAUUCUUUUAAAUGGGCCUUUCUAUUUGGGCUUUUAUUUUAUUGGGCUUUUUAUUUGCUUGCUGUAACGCACUGCAUAUCUAAAUAUCUAAGAAACAUAUUAUCGCUAUUUAUAUACUCAUAUCAUAAUCAAUAUUUGACAACAUAGUCUAUGAUUAACACUUAUUGGCUACAUUAUUGUAAAAAAAAAUUCAAUAAUCUUUCUUUUUCAAACAAUAAAAAAAUAAUUGUAUAAAUGCAACUUGGUAUUGGAAUCUGAUGAAAUGAUGAACCAAACAUUGAAGGACGCAAUUUAGCCUCGUUGAUUAGGACACGUCUUCCAUUUCUUCCACGUGUCGUUUUCACUGUGGAAUAAUAGCCGUCGGAUCAUCAAUCGCAGUGACCACUGGUGUCCCCAGAGUGUCUCCAGAUCGGCUGCCCUGGAGCGGACACGUAAUCUCGAACUUGUAGAUCCAAAGGCUGAGGUUGGGGCGAGGUAGUCAUGAUUUGAAAAGACAGGUUUGUCCUUAAGAAAAAUCUAAGCCAUUGAAUGAAAGAAUAGAGACGAAGUCCCCCAUUUUGUACGCAAAUUCUAAGCCAGAUUUCCCCCAACGAACUCCAACAUCCUCCAAGGUCAUUCCCGUAAUUUCAGCCCACGAACGUAAAUAAAUUAAAUUUGCUUUUCUUCUUUUUUCCCUUUUUUUUUUUCUUCUUCUUUAAUGAGUAAUCUUUCAAUCUUUCGUGAGAUUUGUUCUUUAGGCCUUUUGUUUUGGUAAUCUAUGUGUGUAUGUCUUGUGGGGUUGGGAGUCUUUUUUUUAAAAAAAAGAACUUUUUGGUGAAACUAAGUAGUAAACAAACAGAGACUGAGUUUUUGUUUUUAAAAAAAUUUGAUUAGGAACUCUGAGAUUUCCGGUACGAUGAGAGCCCAAUCCAACGGCGGUGUCAGAGCAAUUACUUCUCCGGACAGGGCAGCGCCGGAGAAAAAACCACCACCGUCUCAUCACGACCACCACCAUAAAUCCGCCGCUACCUCAGACACAAAAAAAGGUGGGUCAUCUUCCGGCAGCGGAGAACCAACUGCACCGCCGCAAGCGCUGCCGGUUUGGCCACCGAAGUUCGUAAUAGCUUUAACGAACAAAGAGAAGGAAGAAGAUUUCAUGGCGAUCAAAGGGUCAAAACUGCCUCAGAGACCUAAAAAACGAGCAAAAAUUAUUCAACGCACCAUCAAUGUAAGCAAAACACCAAUCCCCCCGUCUUUACUUUUCCAGAUUCGUUCUCUACCUUUUCUUUUAUUGGUUUUAAUUACUUUUUCUUCCUUAGUUACGAACUGAUUCUCAUGCGCUAUAAUUAUUAAUUAUUAAUUAUUAAUUAUUAAUAUCAUUAUUACUUCUGCUUUAAUUAUUUAUUUGAACCCUAAUUUUCUUUUAAUUUUCACCGAAUAUUUAUUUCCUAGUAAUUAUUCAAUGAGAGCAUUAAUUGAAAAUAAAACGAAAAAGGGGGGUGUGGGGGUGAGAGAGAGAUAUUAAGGGGAGAGUUGUGGCAAUGGAAGGUUGAUGGAAUGCCACGUGGAGAGAUAUGGUUUGAGUGUUAUUUACCGGAAAUGAAGGCAUUGUGUGUGGGUGAAUGAAUGGUUUAACCAAUUACUAGUCGACAGAUAGACAAUCGCUGAGUUGUCCCAUCCUCGCCUUCAACAGUUGGGAGUCCUUUGGGUUUCUUUUUCUUUUAUCUAAAUAAUCAUGUUCACAUUCAACCUUACUUUUUGUAAUAAAUUCUUAAUUUCCCUCUUCCCUUUUACUUUUCUAUAAAUAAUAUUUGUAAAAGUAUAUUACAUUUUGUUCAGGAUUUAUUUAAUUUGUGUGUUGGUUUGGUGUUUGGUGUUUGGUGUUUGCUAUUUGGUGGUGGCAGCUGGUGAGUCCGGGGACGUGGCUAUGUGAUUUAACGUUGGAGAGAUACGAAGUAAGGGAGAAGAAAAUUUCUAAAAAGGUAUGUAUUUUUUUUCUUCUAUUUUUUGUGUUUAUUAAUUUGUGAAUUGUAAGAAUUGAUUCUUGUUAUUUGAAUGUGUUUGGGAUGCAGAGACCAAGAGGGCUUAAGGCAAUAGUGAACAUGGAGUCGGAGUCCGAGUGAGGAAAAGAGGAGAGUUUCUGAUCACAUACCAAAUUAAUUUAGAACCACUGUUUUGUUGUGAUUUUGUGGAGAGGAGGGGAAGAAGCUUUUAAUUAUGUGAAUUACAUAAAUAUAAAAUAUAUAUAUAUAUAUAUAAGUUGUAGAUUUUCUCUUGGCUAAUUGAUUUUAUUAGCAUAAUGAAAUUGUAAUUAUUCUAAUUUUUUAGUUCUAAGUUGAUCCUUUUGAUAACGGUUUUCAAGUAGAAAUUACCAAUUCUUAGAUUGAAAAUAGAAAUGAGGGUGGAAGCUACAUUUGUUUAUGGAUUAAAGAGCUUUUUCUUUUUUUCUUUUGUGUAAAGAUAUAUUGGCUUAUCAACUAACUUUUAGAAAAACAAAUCCUCCAAGAAUGAAAAAAACUCGGAUUAUCACUUUACUACAACUGCGUCAGUUGAUUCUCUAUCUUUUUUUUUUUCUUUCUCCUCAUCCUUCUUCACAUACUAAAUCAAAAGCCUAAUUUCCCGAAGUUCCCAACUUUAAUUUCCCACACUUUACACCCACCCCUUCCUCUCCUUCAAACUAUUUCUUUCUUCAACAUAUUUUUUCUUAAAAUUAACACAAAAAAAAAAAAAAGUUUCAUACAAUAACUUAUGAUAACAACUUACGUAAACAGUAGAAGGUAUUUCCUUUGGUUUGACAAAAUCAUAGAGAAUAAUGAAACUAUUAUUUUAUAAUGAAAUUCUUCAAAUGGUAGAGACUAAACUACAACUCUCUUUGAAUCAUAUUUAUUGUUAAUUAGCUAGUUUUAUGAUUUAUAAAUAUAUUACAAACACGUUAAACAAAUUUUAAAAUUAUAAUCUAAUUGAAUUUGUUUCCAAACACAUAUUUAAGAUAAAACAUAAAACAUGAAAUUAAGGAGAGGAAGAACUCUAUGUUACCAAAAUACUUUUCUUCUAACUUUUACAGAAAAAACAUUCUUAGAUUUAAACAUAAUUUUAAAUCUAUAAUGGCUGGAUUGCCAUGGUAUUAAAAAAUUAAAUGUAAAUCAUAAAAAGCUAAUAUUGCAAUAUUUAGAAUUGUAAAUUUCUUGAAACAAUCAAAUAAACUUCAUGUGAGUUCAAAAGGGUAUGCAAAAUAAAUUCUAUCGAGUAUAUAAAAUAAAAAGAAUGAAUAAAGAAAAGGAAAAAAGAACUCAAAAUGAAAAUAUAUUUGAGUUGAGCAUCACAAAGAUCACAAGUAGACUUUAUUAGUGGACAACAGAAAUCAACCAAUAUACCAUUUCAUUAAUAUAAAUAAUUCUCUAUAUGCUUUGGAUUCGUCCUUCUUAGAGAAGAAAAAAGAAAAGCAAAAAAGGCAACCAUGUUCUUGUCAUCAAUUCUCUAGCUGUAAAAAUUGCCAACCAUAAAAUUAUUGGCACCUUUCCCUUUCGGGUUUUCAUUAUUCAUUGCACAUGCCUCGCUGCCCCACAAAUUCUACUUCAAUUGGACUUCUGUUGGUCCAGAUUUCAAAUUAUUAAAUAUGCCUUACAAAUCUUGGAAUUCCACAAUUUAAUAAUCCUCAACUUAAUUCGGUAGUACACAAAAUGAUUUCUGAUGGGGUUUUUUUUUUCUCUCUCUCUCUCUCUCUUCAAGAAGAAAUUAAUCAAUCAAUUACAGUGAGAAUUACCAAAUUGUUUUGGCUAAGCGAAGAAUCUCAAAGAAAUUGUUGCAGUUAGAUAUAAUAAGCGAGUGUGUUCGUAUGAAUGAAUGCAUGAAAGAGUAAAGAAGAAGAGAGUAUUUAAAAAGAACGAAACAAUUUAUUUACUAAUCAUAACCAACAAAAUAUAGCACAAUCGUGAACAAACCAACACAACCUGCAUUCUAUAUAUAAGAAUGUGUAAACAAAAGAGGUCGUCUGUACCAAACGUGUAGAAAUUAAAGUCCCUUAGAAAAACAUCUAAAACAAAUUCCUCCGCGGCGCAAGGUUUUAGUUGAAGAGAGAAAAGAAAAAGAAAAAGGAAAAGCAGACCAUCACAAAUACAUGGAAGAGUCCAUGGCAAAAUCAAUCACCACAUCCGAAGGCCGGUAGCUCAGAUCCUGAGAGUAGAUCCGAAGGCGAGAGCAAGGAAAGCAGCAAGGCAAGCGGAGACGGCCGAAGGAGCAAUGGAGGUGGCAGGGGAGGCCGGACUGGGAGCCGGAGCCUCCUGAGCGGCGACGGAGGAAAGGGCGAAGAUGAGGGCAAUGAGAGCGAGGAGAGAAACUUUGGAGAGGGCGGCCAUUGGGUAAAAGAGGUAAUGGGGGCGGGGGGUUAGGGUUGAGGCGGGAGAGAG